rnacentral:lncRNA from 1 species
GGGAACACAAUCGGCAGAAAAUCUACGAUGAGUACCCCUACCCGGCGACAUUAAACGUUGGUAACUUUGUUUCAAUUUAUCUUUCUGCCGAUAAUUUCUUGCAAUGACGGACACCGAUGGUGAAUCUGUUAGAGGAACAAAACCUCAUUGAGUUUGUCGAUGGCUCAAUGACGGCACCCCUGAAGUUUAUUGAUGAGUCGGGGAGGGAAGUAGGGGUAUUAACUGAAAAUUUAAAUCAAAAAGGGGUAUCAACUGAAAAUUCAAAAUAAUUAAACCCUAGGUUUAAAUUAUGGAGAAGGACUGAUCGACUAGUAAAAGGUUGGAUUACUAGUCGACUGUCUUCGACAACAUUGAGCCUUAUUACUGGGAUAGAAACAUCAAAAGGGGUAUGGGAUACAUUAAAAAAUACGCAUGCCCAAGAUUCAAUUGAAAGAGAGUUUUUACUGACGGAAAAGAUACAACUUAAAAAAGAAUCUUCUAUGCCAAUUCAAGACUUCUGAAAAUUAUAUUUGAUGAAUUGAAUUUGAUAGGAAGAAUACUUGGAGAUGUAGAAAUAACGUACUUCCUAUUGAAUGGAUUAGGAGAGAAAUAUGAGUCUUUUAAGACUGUCACACUAAAACCACCAGUCCCAUCUUAUAAUUCUGUGGUUCCGCAACUCAUUAGUUAUGAUUUGAGGAAUGGGUUAACGACUGAAAAAAGUACUAAUUUAUUGUACAUGGAUAGGAAAAAUAAAGGGAAAUUUUAUAAAAAUAAAGAAAAGGAAAAAAUGCUGAAUUUAAUUCUAGAGGUAGAGGUUUUAAGCCACAUAGAUCUAAUGAUGGCUGGAAACAAUACAAAGGAAGAUCAGAAGGUAGGAAUUUAUGUCAAAUCUGUAAUGAAUCAGGUCAUCAAGAAAUGGUCUGUCCUAAUAGAUUUGAUCACUCAGUUCAAGCUAAUGAUUUACAUCAUGAGAUGAAUGCUCUAAAUAUGGCAGAAGAUUUUUAAGCUCAAGAAUGGCUAACAGACGCUGGAGCUGCAGCACAUAUGACAUAUAAUGAAGGUGAUCUUGAUUCCUUCAAACCCUAUACUGGUAAAAAAUGUGUAAAGGUAGGAAAUGGAAAAGAAUUAGAUAUUUCAUUUAAAGGAGAUAAAACUAUAAUUUUAGAUGAUGAUAAAAAAUUAUAUCUAAAAAAUGUGUUGGUAGUACCAAAUAUUAAGAGAAAUGUACUAUCAAUUAGUAUAUUAACAAAAGAAUUUCCUUUUGUUUUUGAAUUUGAUUCUACUCAUUUUAUGAUUAAGGAUCCUCUGAGGAGAAUGAUGAAGCACGGAAUCUGCUACCAGUAGGCUCGCGGGGUUGCGAAAAGGGCCGGAGGCUUUGGAGUCCACGACGCGCGCUCUACGUCAAACACCUGCAGAAGAGGAGGGGAAUCGGCGACUCUCUUAGGAGUAGGCAAUUCGGGCUCCUUGGAUGCUCUAGUGUGGAGUGUAUGUGGUCAAGAUAUGUUGUCAAUGGAGGACACCCCUAGGACCCCUUUUAUAGGGUCCUGGAGGCAUUUCCCCAUUUAAUAGAAUGGGGCCCACCCCAUUAUGGUACCCUAUUGAAGGGCGCCAUAAUGGUGUGGGCCCACUCAAGUAACGGUUGGGAGUCGGCGACUCAAGUAUGGGAGUCGCCGACCCAGAGGUGGAGUCGCCGACUCCUUUGAGGCCAGGUCCUCGGUCUACCAGACCCGAGUUCCCUGGCUGGAGUCGGCGACUUGGUAGUCCCAGUCGGCGACUCCCAGGUGUUGUCUUGAGUUCUUAACGUAGACACGUGCUCCGCACCGUAGAAGCCUUCUGAGGGUCCGGCAUAUAGCGACGGAACCCUAGUCCUUGUUGAAGGACGUUGUUGGGAGUGACUGACGUAAUCAGGCAUGUCUCACCAGAGAACUAUAGUAGCCCGGGGGAGCAGAACUAAAGAUGAUCUCUAUACUUUAAGAUCUAGGAGCACUGAACUAUAUGCAAAUGUGGUUGCAAGAGGUGAAAGUGAAAACAUUUGGCAUCAUAGAUUAGGACAUUCGAAUAAAGAAAUUCAGAAAUUUUUAAAUAAAAAAAAAACAUAAUAAAUGUAAUUGAUUAGAAUGAUAAAAAUAGUAAAUGUGAGGGAUGUAUGAUGGGAAAAAUGUCGAUACUUCCAUUUUUACAUUCAAAGUCAAAUUCAAAUGCUAUUUUUGAUCAAAUUCAUUAUGAUAUUUGGGCCCCCUCCCCAAUUUCAUCAAAAUUAAAUUUCAGAUUUUAUGCAUGUUUAGUAGAUGAUUUUUCUAAAUAUACAUGGUUUAUACCAUUAAGAUUUAAAUCUGAUUUUACUAAUUCCUAUUUAAAUUUUGAAAAAUAUGUUUUUAGACCAUUUGAAAAAAAGCUAAAAAUAUUUCAAUAUGAUGGUGGAGGUGAGUUUUGUAAUAACAAGUUGCAAGAUCUCUUCAAAAAUGAGGGUAUUAAAAUGCAAAUGUCUUGGCCUUCAACUCCUCAACAGAAUGGGGUAGCUGAGAGAAGACAUAGAAACAUCAGGGAACAAGGACUGUCACUAAUGUUCCAUAGUGGAGUGCCACAAAGGUUUUAGGUAGAAGCACUUGAUACUGCUACCUAGUUACCUUAUGAAUAGAACUCAUUCAGUCUCCUUGGGACAUAUUUCACCAUUUGAGAAAUUGUAUGAAAAAGAGUUUAAUUUCAACAAUCUAAGAAACUUUGGAAGGGCCCACGUCAUUCCCAACCGUUACUUGGGAGGGCCCCACGCUAAUGAAUGGGGAAACGUCCCCCAGGACCCUAUAAAAAGGGUCCUUGGGGGUCCUCUACUCCCAAGUCAUUCCCACUUGACCAAACCACACCAGAGCAAAUUAAGGAGCCCGAGUUGCCGACUCCCACACCUGAGUCGCCGACUCCCCUUCACUUAUGCAGGUACAUUGACGUAGAGCGCGCGUCGUGGACUCCAAAGCCUCUGGCCCUCCUCGUGAUCCCGCGAGCCUACUGGUAGCAGAUUUUGUGCUUCAUCAUUUGUGGAACAACCACAAUGUUUUAAAGACGAAAAGUACCUAGAACAUGUAUGGAGACUAAAGAAAGCCUUAUACGGGCUUAAUCAAGGUCCAACAACAUGGUAUGACACUUUAAGCAAAUUUCAAUAAUAUAUAUUAUAUAUAUAUAUAUUUAGGUUAUAAUGUAUUAAUUUUGGGACAUAAUACAUAUCGCGAUUUGGGGAAGAAACCGAUUCUCGUUUCUUCACAACAGCUCUUCUUCUUUGAGCAGAUCUCCUCCCGUCGAUCCCUUCUAAUCAUCAUCUUUAAUCUGUUUUUAUAUCACUAUUGUUAAUCUAGCUUUUAACAGGAUUUCAAAUAUUUAAAAAAAAUUGAAAGCAAGCUCGAAUCGAUGGCAUCCAUUGACGAAAUCACAGAGGAAUUCAAGAAAGUCAAGAUCACUGAAAAAGUGGUGCAUAAGAAGAAUAGGAUUCAGGUUUCUAAUAAGAAGAAACCAAUAUUCUUCUACAUUAAUCUAGUCAAGGUACUUUUCAGAUCAUUAUGUUUUUCGUCGAUUUAUUUUUGUCUAUUUCUAACUGGUGAUCUUGCAUUUUCAGAAGUAUCUUCAGCACUAUGGAGAAAUUGAGUUAUCUGUAUUUGGAAUGGGAAGGAUUAUGAAUUUUGAAUCAUGAUUGAUUAUACUUUCUUUGAAAAUAUUAAUCGUUUCUUUUUUGCUUUUAUAACGACUGGAUCUGUGAUUAACAUAUCUGAGAUUCUGAAGAAUAGCAAUUUUUUUGUGUUGAAAGGUAAUAACAAGAUAGAUUCAGAACUAGAAUUCUUCAAAAUUAUAAAAAUUAAAUAUUAAUUUCUUUAUUUAAUUCUUUUUGAUAUGAUAUCAAAACAUUAUCUGUGGAAGUUUACGACGAAAGAACAAGUCGCAUCGUUAGUAAAGCAAAGAUAAAACAAGACCUGUUUAUUGUUAAAUUGAUCGAUUUCAAUUUAAUAAUUUUAAUAAUUUUUUCCUUCUUUCUUUUUCAGUUGGAAAUUUCAAUGGAGAAGUCCAAGGCGAUUGUUGAGGUUAUUGCUACGGAAAAUCUUAAGAAGGUUAAUGGUGGGAUUAAUCUUGAUACUAAUGGCAAAAGCUGAGCGAGAUUGUUUUCGGAUUUAAUAAUUUUAGUUUUUUCUCCUUUUCUGAAUUUCGAGAAUAGCUAAAUUAGAUUGAAGGCAAAACUUUGAAAUUUGUUAUGUUGUUUUAAUUUUCUCUUGGAAAAUUUGUUUUCAAUAUUAAACUAAAUCAAUUUCGUAAUUCUUUUAAAUAAUUUUUUUUUUAUGAUAUAGAGAGGGAUGACAUAAUUUAAUUUCAUUGUAUAUUGACUGUUCUAAUAAACACACUACAAGAAAAAAAACAUUUUGGCGCCCAACAUUUAAUAAGUUUGUUUGGUCGCUCCGUUGGUUGACAAAAACCUAGUAUCUAAUAAUGAAUGACCUUAAAAUAAUGUUAUAAUAGUCUUUUGAACUCUAAUUUCUAAUCUAAUUCUUUCAUUAUUAAGUUCUAUCGUUAUUUUGUUGUAGAGAGAAAGCACAAACAUUUAUUGGAGGUUUUCAGGGCAAUUAAGUUCAUAGUUGGAUGCCAAAUCCUUUUUGGAGUGAGUGUGUUUUGACAUCAACAUUCAUUAUUAACAGAUUACCCACUGUUGUUUAAAACCAUAAAUCCCCUUAUGAAACAUUACAUAAUAAGAUCUCUUAUUACACUACAAAAAAAAGACCUUGUAUGGCGGUCUUUAGAUGACGGAAAUCCGCCAUCAAUAAUCCAGUUGUUUAGAUGGCGGAUGUCUGUCAUCUAUUCUUUUAGUCCACCGAGGAAAGGUUUGGACUCGACGGCGGUUCGAUUUUAUUUUCAAUGGUGGUUUUUAGAUGGCGGAAAUCCGCCAUCUAAACUAUCCCGUCCAAAAUUUUGAAUCUCCCCCAAUAUUCAACCCGUUUACCCGAUUAAAUUGACUUAAUAUGGCGGAUGUCCGCCAUGUUAAGUAUUCAGGGAGUCAGGCGGAAAAAGCCCACCCAAUCAAAUUUCGAUUGGGCGGACUUUCACUUAAGUCCCAUCGGAACUUAAGUGUACUUACAUUGCGGAUUUCCGCCAUGUAAAUUUUGGAGUUUAUUAAAAACCCCAAAUCCAGACAGAACACGCACCUGACUGCCGAAUCGUUGCUGCCACCGAAUCCUUGCCUCUGUCGCCGUCGUUCGCUCCUGCCGGUUGCUGCCGCUCGCUCCGCCGGUCAUCGCACCGUCGUUCCUUCCUCAGUCUGCCAGUGAUCGCUCUCCCGUUCCGGUGAUUGCUCCCCCCAUCGUUCCGGUAUGAUUUCUUCAUCUUAUGGUUUUCUAUUUCUUCAUCUUAUGGUUUUCUAUUACUUAUUUUUCAUCUUAAUUUUCAUCUAUUUGUUUAUAUAUUAAUCUAUUAUUUUGUUUAUCCAUAUUGUUUAGAUAUUUUGAUUAUUUGAUGGGUUUAUGUUUAUUUACAUAUCCGUUUUUGAUUGUUUAGAUAUUUUGAUUGUUUCAAUGUAUUUGUGUUUUUAAUCUUACUCACUGUUUCAAUGUGUUUUGAUUGUGUUUUAAUCUUACUCAAUGUAUUUUGAUUGUGUUUUGUAAUAUGUUUCACUAAUUUACUUAAUCUCUUUUGAAGAUUGAAUUUUUUAAGUUUUUAAUUUACUGUAAUCUAUUUUCAUGUUUUAAUGUUUUUGAUAUUUAUAUUUCAUGUAUUUCAUGUCUAUGGAUGUUUGUAUCUAUUUCAUCUAUAUGGAUGUCAUUUUUGGGAUGUUAUGUUAUGUAUAUAGUUGUUAUGUUAAUUAAGUACUGCUAUGUUAAAUGAUAUGUUUAAGUAUUGUUUUAUAGGUUUAAGUACUGUUAUUAUUAUUUUUGGAUUGAUUAAUAUGAAUGUUUAAAUUGUUAACAUGUGUUGAAUGUUAAGUACUAUUAUAUGAAGUUUUAUGAUAUGUUUUAAAAGUAAAGGUAUUGUUGGUCGCAAAGAUAUUGAUGGUCGUAAAGAUAUCAAUUAAUUUAAUUAAUAAUUUAAAUACUGUUUGAAAUAAUUUAAAUAAUUAAUUAUUUAGUUAUAUCAUAAUUUAAAUACCAUGUUUUGAAAUAAAUAAAAAAAUAUUUAAUAUUGUUCGAAAUUAAUAUUUUUUAAUAAAUUUAAAAAAUAAUUUAUGAAAUAUUUAAUUUACUGUUUAUAAAUGUUUUAAUUGAUUAUUUUUAAAAAAUUUAUAAAUUGAUUUAAUUAAAUAAAUAAUUUAUAUAAUGUUUUAAUUAACUAAUUAAAUUAUUGUGUUGUUGACUUGUUGUAGGUUUUGAAAAAUCAAGAAUUCAAAAAAUUGAGAUUGAAUUAAGCUCUAUUGCGGUAUGAAAUUAUAAAUGUUUAUUUAAUCAUUUCAUUUUAAAAAUAUUUAAUUAAUUUGCAUGUAAUUAUAAAUUUGUUAAUUAGUAAUUAUUAAAUUGAAUGAUUUUAAAUUCUAUUAAUAAUGAUUAAUUUGUAUGAAAUUAUUAAUUUGUUAAUUAAUAAUUAUUAAAUUGAAUCAUUUUAAAUUGUAUCAAUAAUGAUUAAUUAGCAUGAAAUUAUUAAUUAAUUAAUAAUAAUUAAAUUGAAUGAUUUUAAAUUGAAUUAAUAAUGAUUAAUUAAUUUGCAUGAAAUUAUAGAAAUGUUAAUGAAUAAUUAUUAAAUAUGCCAUGAAAUUAAAUUUUUUAAUUAAUAAAAAUAUUAUAUGUUUAAAAAUGAAUGAUUAUUUAAUUAUUUGAUAAUUAAUAAUUAAUUAAUCUUUUAGAUUUUAAGAAAUGCCACGUAGAGUGAAGCAAUUACCUCGUAAGAGGGCUCUACCUCCCAAUCGCCAAGAUGCUUUCCGGUUUUAUCUCCUGGUUCAUCCUGCACCAGCACCUGUACGUCCAGCACCGGCCCCUCCAGUUCCGCAACCAGCAACUCCGAAGAAAGUCAUUUACGAAACGGAUUCGGAAAAGUCAAUUAGACCUUUAAUUAGCUAGAUUUUCCAAAAAAUAUUGAACUUAAUAUUAAUUGAACNNNNNNNNNNNNNNNNNNNNNNNNNNNNNNNNNNNNNNNNNNNNNNNNNNNNNNNNNNNNNNNNNNNNNNNNNNNNNNNNNNNNNNNNNNNNNNNNNNNNNNNNNNNNNNNNNNNNNNNNNNNNNNNNNNNNNNNNNNNNNNNNNNNNNNNNNNNNNNNNNNNNNNNNNNNNNNNNNNNNNNNNNNNNNNNNNNNNNNNNNNNNNNNNNNNNNNNNNNNNNNNNNNNNNNNNNNNNNNNNNNNNNNNNNNNNNNNNNNNNNNNNNNNNNNNNNNNNNNNNNNNNNNNNNNNNNNNNNNNNNNNNNNNNNNNNNNNNNNNNNNNNNNNNNNNNNNNNNNNNNNNNNNNNNNNNNNNNNNNNNNNNNNNNNNNNNNNNNNNNNNNNNNNNNNNNNNNNNNNNNNNNNNNNNNNNNNNNNNNNNNNNNNNNNNNNNNNNNNNNNNNNNNNNNNNNNNNNNNNNNNNNNNNNNNNNNNNNNNNNNNNNNNNNNNNNNNNNNNNNNNNNNNNNNNNNNNNNNNNNNNNNNNNNNNNNNNNNNNNNNNNNNNNNNNNNNNNNNNNNNNNNNNNNNNNNNNNNNNNNNNNNNNNUUGUUGCACAGAAUUUACCAGACUAUCUUUUAUCUUGGAAUUGGAUCAGUUGAAAUGCGAAAAUCAUUGGAGUGAUAAAAGAUUUCAGAAAUUAUUAUCCAUCAUGCGUCGUGCUAUUCCAAAUGGGGAGUCGACCAUUCCGAAAACCAUGUACCAUGCGAAAUCGGUGGUUCGUGACCUGGGCCUCAAUUAUACGAAAAUCGAUGCAUGUCGCAACGAUUGUAUUUUAUAUCGAAAUGAGUAUGCAGACGUAGAAACUUGCUCGAUUUGUGGAACGUGUAGGUGGGUCGUCGAAGGCGUUUAGAAAAACAAACGUGUUCCAGUUAAAUGUCUUCGUCACUUUCCGUUGAUUCCACUUUUGAAGAGAUUGUAUCUGUGUUCUAAAAUUUCUGAAGACAUGAUAUGGCACCAUUCCAAACGUAAGGACGACGGAUUUCUUCGGCAUCCAGCUGAUUCUUUACAAUGGAAGAAAUUUGACGAGGUUCAUCCCAAAUUUGCAUCCGAACCUCGUAAUGUGAGACUUGGUUUAGGAACUGAUGGAUUCAACUCGUUCAGUCAGCAAUCUCUAUCUCAUAGUACUUGGCCAGUGAUAGUUAUACCGUACAACCUUCCACACCUUGGAUGUGUAUGAAGCAACCGAAUUUCAUGUUGUCUCUACUAAUUUUCGGUCCGUCAGCUCCAGAGAACGAUAUAGAUGUCUAUCUUCAACCGCUUAUUGAUGAACUGAAGAUUUUAUGGGCAGAUGGUGUGACAGCUUUUGAUGUACGUAAGCAGAAAUCUUUUAAGAUGUUUGCAUCACUUCUGUGGACGAUACCUGAUUAUCCAGAAUACGGUAAUAUAUCAGGGUGGAGCACUAAAGGAAAGUUAGCCUGUGCAGUAUGUAAGAAUGACACUGAAAGUAUUCGUUUAGAGCAUGGAAAGAAAGAGAGUUUUAUGGGACAUCGUCGAUUUCUAGAUAUGAAACAUUAUUAUAGGAGCGAUAUGAAAAGUUUCAAUAAUCAGAUCGAAACUAGAGUCGCCCCUAAACGUCUGACGGGUUCUGAAAUAUAUAGUCAAGUUUAUCCAUUUCGAGAUUCAGUAACUUUUGGUAAAACAUCGAAUGUACCAAAAGAUUGUAGACCGUCGACGAAAAGAACGAAGAAAAUACCAUUACCCAAAGGAUGGAAAAAAAUGAGUAUUUUUUCAAAUUACCGUAUUGGAAGACGUUGCUUCUACGAUAUUGAUGUUAUGCACACUGAAAAUAAUGUAUGUGACAAUAUUUUAAACACUAUUUUGGAAAUGGAUGGUAAAACGAAAGAUAAUUUGAACGCGAGGUUCGAUUUACAAUCGAUGGGAAUCCGAAAAGAACUUCAUCCUAUUCGACGAGGAGAAGAAUGGGACAUUCCGAGUGCGUGUUUCAACUUAACGAAGAAAGAAAAGAUAUUAUUUCUGUCAGUGUUUAAAUCCCUUCGACUUCCCGAUGGAUAUUGUUCUAACAUUUCUAAAACGUGAAAAUGAAAGAAAGAAAAUUUAUCGGAUUGAAAAGUCACGAUUGUCACGUUAUAAUGCAACAGUUACUUCCUAUUGCAUUACGAAAAUCGACAAAACAUGCAGUGACUUCGGUUCUCGUUGAACUUUGCAUAUAUUUCCACGAUAUUUGUUCGAAGGUGAUCGAAAUCAAACUUAUGAAACGAUGGGAGAAAAGAAUUAUAUAUACAUUAUGCAAUUUUGAGAAAAUCUUUCCUCCCGGUUUUUUUACUGUAAUGGUUCAUCUGACGGUCCAUCUAGCAACCGAAGUGAAAAUAGCUGGACCGGUACAAUAUCGAUGGAUGUAUCCGAUAGAGAGGUAUAUAUAUUUAUACAAUUAUAAAUAAAUUUAUAAUUAAUAUGUCUUGAUCAUACAAUAUAUAUUCUCAUUUUAGGUGUCUUUUGACUUUAAAAAAUCAUGUGACCGUAUGUAGUCAACCGGAAGGCUGAAGAAUCAAUGACGUUUUGUUCUCGGUUUUUACAAAAUGUGGAGACAAAAUCAAAUCAGCCAGAUAGGUAUAUCGAUGGGUUUUUAAAUGCAUCGACUGAUAUAACGUUGACUACUUUACAACAGAAACAGUUUCAUCAAUGUAUAUUGUUUGACCUUGAAAGUGUCAAACCAUAUCGAAAUAAACUCUUGAAGCAAUUGAAAGUUAUGUUUCCAAAACACACGCAGCUUCGUCUGGAAAAUUUACACUUCAAACAAUUUGUCGAAUGGUUUAAGAAACACAUGUCUGAAGCUCAACAAUCCGACACAGAUUUAAAUUCUAUUUCCCACGGACCAAGUUGUUUUGUUUCAAUUUAUAAUGGUUACAUUAUGAAUGGAUUAAAAUUUCAGACAUCAGAAUUGACAAAUGGUAGAUCGACGUAAAAUAACGAUAUUUUUCUAUCGGCUACAACAUCAACGUAUGCUAAAUCUCCAAAUGAUGCUCCGUUGGUAGCAGAAAUUGAAUAUCAUGAAUUAUUAGAAAAUGUUUUCGAAAUUUGCUACGGUCACACGACUAAAUGUUGUCUGUUUGAAUGUAAGUGGUACGAUCCUGGAAAAGCAGGUACAAAAGUCAAUGAUUUUGGUGUCGUUUCAGUGAACACGACACGGGGAAAAUUUGGAAAGAAACCUUUCAUUUUGGCAAAUCAGGCUCAACAAUGUUUCUACAUUCAACAUCCGGUAGAAUCUGAAUGGAGUUCAGUCCUUCAAAUACUAAAUAGAGAUAUUUUCGAUGUCGAUAAUGAUGAUUGUUGUAAUUAAAUUAUAAAGUAUUACAUUACAAUAUAAUUUAAUAUUUUGAAUGUAAUAUCAUGUUGAUUAUAAAUAUUUCUUUUUUUCAGUAAAAAAUGAGUCAACUACUUGCAAUCGUCGAACGAUAUGAACGACUCGAGCUACUAAACCAGAUUCAACGUAGUUUUUACAAAAACAUAGAUUAUUAUUGUCGUGUUUUUGCUUGUUUCCGUUGCGGAGUCAACGGUCAUCAUUUUCAAAACUGUCCAAAAAUAUGGUCGAGAAAUCCUCAAACAAUGGAAACCGGUCAGAUUUUAGUGUUAGGAUACGAAACUAGAGUGUUGAAUGAUUGUGAAGGCACACAUUCAUUCAAAAUCAAAUACAACUAUUCUCACGACGACUUCGAAGAUUUGUUGUGUCUAAUAAUAAAGAAUGUAAAUUACAAUAGGAAAAAUGUUUGGUUGUUGUGUUAAACUAAGACCCUAUAUACGGGUGUCUGGUUAUGUAUUUAAAUUAACUAAUUUUAUAUUAAAAUUUAAAUAUUUCAAAUUAUAUUUACUUUUUUCGUUCUGAUCGGUGUGAUAACACCUUUCAUGGCAUUGGCGAUGGUGACAUCCCGUCGCUCUUUUGAAGAGUCAAGCUCAAGGGGUCAGUUCAUUAUUCAUAUUUUAAAUAUUAUCAUGAUUUUUAUUAAAUAUUAAUUCUUAAAUAUGUAAAUUAAUUAGAUGCGAGGCCAUUCACAUCGAAUGUGCCUCCAAAGAAGAAGGGUCGUGGUCGCACAAAAGACCACCCUCAUAAUCAUCCAGAAAAAGAUACGAAAUGGAAGGUGAUGUUUGACAACAUGAACCAAGCGACGGAUGAAAUGGCGAAGAAAUUAACCACAAGAAUGGCUCUUUUAGCAAAAGAUCAUACUCUCUUCCCGUACGACAUUGAGUGGCGUCAUCAACCACAACAAAAUUUUCAGGACGCGUUAAAAAUAUUAACUGUAAGUAUAUAUAUUUUUUAUAAUAUUUAUUAAUUUUCAAAAACUUAUAAGUUUUGAAUAUGUAGGCUGAAUAUGAUUUAAGUGGAAGCAAAGCUGCACAAACUUAUAUCAAUGGUAGGUUGAACAAACUCUGGAGAAGCAACCAUAAUUCUUUGGUUAAAACUUAUGGAUCUGAUCCUGAUAUGAGAGAAGAAGAUAUUUUAGCGACUCUUCCACCGUAUGUCAGCAAACCUCAAUUUCUGAAUAAAUUGAGACAACAUCGAUCGGAAAAAGGAAAGGUACGUAUAUGUAUAUGUAUAUAUAUAUAUAUAUAUAUAUAUAUUAAUAAAUUUAGAAACCUAUUAUUUUUUAUAAUUUCAGCAAAUUUUCGAGAUAAAUACCGCGAACCGAGCGAAUCAAAUGACACAUCAAGCUGGUUCAAAAGGAUUAGCGCAACGACAUCAUAAAUUGGUAAUUUAUUUAUAAUUUAUAUCUAAUUUUUUUAUAUAUUAAUGAAUUAUGUGAAUAUAGAUGCAACAAGGAUGAAGUGAAGUCGAAACUUGGUCAGAGAUUUUACAAAUGACAUAUAAAGGAAGCGAUAAAGUUGAAAGUCUUUUUUUUAAUUAUUUAUAUUUUAUAAUUUUUAUUAUCAUUGUUUGAUUUUGUUAUUCUUUCAGCUUGAAGCCACGGAAUUUAUCAAAAGUCAAGAGGCAAAAUCGUGGGCUGAAUCUGAAACAAUGACUCCAUUUGUAAGUUCCAUAGAUUAUUUUAAACAUAUUUCGCAUUUCUUAUUUAUUUACAUUUUAUAAUGCAGCAAUUUAUCGAAGCGACGGUCAACAAGACUUUCGGAAAAAAUAAAAAAAUAGAAUCAUAGGAAUUGGAGAAACUGCCAGUAUGGUGAGCACAACGAACGAAAGAUGGGCUUCUCCAAAUUGGAAAGGAAAAGAGACGAUCUCCGAAAACACGACUAUUGAUGCAACACCAGACGAAAAACAACAAUUGAGUGGAAGCAAUGCAAAGUUAAUUGAAUACAUUAAAAGAGAAUGAAACAUGGUCUCUCACUCAGUUACCACAUGAUUGAAAAACAAUUGGUUCUAGAUUAAUUUAAAAGUAAAAGUCAACCUAAUAGAACAAUUGAAAGAUAGUGGCCAAGGGUAUAGUCAAAUAGAGGGGUUUGAUUAUCAUGAGACUUUUGCCCCAGUAGAAAAAUUAACCACCAUGAAAACUCUCUUCGCAAUAGCAUCUGUAAAAAAUUGAAAACUGCAUCAAUUAGAUGUCAAUAAUGCUUACCUAAAUGGAAUUUUGAAUGAAGAAAUUUAUAUGAAAUCUGAUGAAGCACGGAAUCUGCUACCAGUAGGCUCGCGGGGUCGCGAGGAGGGCCGGAGGCUUUGAAGUCCACGACGAGCGCUCUACGUCAAUGUACCUGCAGAAGUGGAGGGGAAUCGGCGACUCUCUUGGGAGUAGGCGAUUCGGGCUCCUUGGAUUGCUCUGGUGUGGUGUGUGUCAAGUGGGAAUGACCUGGGAGUAGAGGACCCCCAAGGACCCCUUUUAUAGGGUCCUGGGGGACGUUUACCCAUUCAUUAGCGUGGGGCCCACCCCACUAUGGUGCCCUAUUGAAGGGUACCAUAAUGACGUGGGCCCUCCCAAGUAACGGUUGGGAAUCGGCGACUCAGGUAUGGGAGUCGUCGAUUCAGAGGUGGAGCCGCCGACUCCCCAUAAGCCAGGUUGGUAGUCUACCAGAACUAACCACGAGGCCUAGAGUCGGCGAUUGACCCCUGGAGUCGGCGACUUGGUAGUCCCAGUCGGCGAUUCCCAGGUGUUUCCUUGAGUACUUGACGUAGACACUUCCUCUGCAUUUGUUGAACUCUCCGGGGGUCCGGCAUAAAGCGACGGAACCCUAGUCCUUGUUGAAGGGCGUUGUUGGGAGUGACUGACGUAAUCAGGCAUGUCUCAUCAGUACUCCCCCCUGAAGAGAGCAUGAAAAAACACGCGUGUACCUCCAGUAUCCCCCCCAAGCAAGGUCAUCCGCAUCAAGGCCAAAGCGACGAGAUGGGACUGAGUCAUUGCGCUCACAGCGACAUAAAUGACUCCGCGUAGUCCAUGCACUAUCAAAUGGACUGAUCCACAAUCAGAAUCUAGUUCCAGGCCAACAGAAAUACAUGUUUAUAGUCCUCCUCUGAUCAGGAGAGACUUUUACUGUGGAUUUUGGCCGAAGCGACGGAAUGCGUGGAUUCAGUAUUAGAAUCUGAUUCUGGCCGAAGCAACAGAAUGCGUGGAUUCGCUAUUAGAAUCGGGUUCUCGCCGAAGCGACAGAAUGUGUGGAUUCUGGCCGAAGCGACAGAAUGCGUGGAUUUUGGCCGAAGCGACAGAAUCUAGUUCACUAUCGGAACUGAUGUUUACAGUCUACCCUGAUCAAGAGCGACUUUACGUCCGCAUGACGGUUACCCCAUAGGCCAAAGCGCAAGAUGGGUCGAGAUCAUUAAGGCCAAAACGACAAAAUGAUCUCCAAGUGUUGAAGAAUUAUUGAAGCUGAUGAAGCACGGAAUCUGCUACCAGUAGGCUCGCGGGGUUGCGAGGAGGGCCGGAGGCUUUGGAGUCCACGACGCGCGCUCUACGUCAAUAUACCUGCAGAAGAGGAGGGGAAUCGGCGACUCCCUUGGGAGUAGGCGAUUCGGGCUCCUUGGAUUGCUCUGGUUGGAGUGUGUGUCAAGAGAGUGAGUUGAGGGUAGAGGUCCCCCAAGGACCCCUUUUAUAGGGUCUGGGGGGACGUUUCCCCAUUCAUUCGAGUGGGGCCCGCGCCGUUAAGGUACCCCUAAUAAGGAAUGCCUUAAUGGCGAAGGUCCGCUCAAGUAACGGCUGGGAGUCGGCGAUUCAGGUAUGGGAAUCGCCGAUCCAGAGGUUCAAUCGCCGACUCCCGUAUGAGCCUAGUGGUAGCCUACCAGAGCUGCCCACGAGGCGUAGAGUUGGCGAUUCCCCUCCGGAGUCGGCGACUUGGUAGUCCCAAUCGGCGACUCCCAAGUGUUAGCUUGAGCUCUUGACGUAGACACGUGCUCCGCACCGUGGAAGCCUUUCCGGGGGUCCGGCAUAUAGUGACGGAACCCUAUUCCUUGUCGAAGGGCGUUGCUGGGAGUGACUGACGUGUUCAGGCAUGUCUCACCAGUACUCCCCCCUGAAGAGAGCAUGGCAAAACACCCGUGUAGCCUCAGAAGCCAAAGCGACAACAUAAUUCUUGGUCCAUUAAGUCCAAAGCGACAAAAUGAAACUGGAUCUAUUAAGGCCAAAGAGACAAAAAUAGAUCUGAUUCUGGCCGAAGCGACAGAAUCAUGCCUGCAAAACAAAAAACAACCUACAAAACAACUAUUUCAGUCUAAAGGAUAUAUUUAUUGAUUUACUGACCUUGCCGUGUGGAGCUGCCUCUCAUGCUGCUCCUUCUUAUGCUCAAUAAAUCCUUGAUUGAUCUGGGCGAAGCGACAGAUCUAUCAUGCUAAAAAAUAUGACAGCUUCUGGCCGAAGCGACAGAAGUGUCAGGAAGAGCUUGUGAUACUCCCUCCUUGAGAUCAUUAAGGCUGAAGCGUCAAAAUGACCUCUGGUCUAUCAAGGCCGAAGCGACGAGAUAGACCGACUAACUGUUAGAGUCUGACUCACUAUCAGAGUCUAGUUCACUAUUAGAACCUGGUUCACUAUUAGAACCUGGUUCACUAUUAGAACCUUUCCUGCAAAAAAGAAAACAACCUGCAAAACUACUAGAUCAGUCCAAAAACGCAUAUUUAACUUAUUGAACUUACCGUGUGAUUUUACCUUCCUUGAUACCUCUUCUUUGCUCAAUAAAUCCUUAGUAAAUCUGGCCGAAGCGACAGAUUUUACCGUGCUCAAUUUUUGACGACUUCUGGCCGGAGCGACAGAAGUGUCGGGAGAGUUUGUGAUACUCCCCCCGAAAUUUGACGACUUUUGGCCGAAGCGACAGAAGUGUCGGGAGAGUUUGUGAUGCUCUCCCUCAAAAUUUGACAACUUCUGGCCGAAGCGACAAAAGUGUUAGAAGAGUUUGUGAUACUCCCUGAUGGGGGUGAAACCCGACCAGUACUCCAAGACGCGCAAGCAAGAGCCAAGCGGGGAACUCCGUGGGAAAUCGGACCGGAACUCAAGUGCGUAGAGCUCUGCUUCGCUAGGACUCCUUCCACUCCAAAUGACCUGCCUUUAAUGAAUGGGAGAUGCCUCCUAUUUAUAGGGAAUCUUAUGGGGGUAAUCUGGUUAUUUGGGCAGUAACCGCCUAACUGCCUAACUGAUCAGAUCGAGGCCCAAGGUCGACUUUCCAGAGAUCGACUUUCUGGGGAUCGACUUUCCUGAUGAUCGACUUUCUGGGGAUCGACUUUCCUGAUGAUCGACUUUAUUCAGAAGUCGAUCCCAGGGAAGUCGAUCUCAGGAAAGUCGAUCUUCCUAGGAUUCGACAUGGGACCUCCCCAACCCUAGAAUAGGUACCUCAACUCAUCUUAGGCUAUUCGGACUUCUAGUUGCUAGUAAAUUGUGACCGAGUUCGGGAUACUGUAUCACCAGUACUCCCCCCUCCUCUCCAUUUUAGAUAUCUUGGGAUACGUCUUUUAGUACUUAUGGUUUGUGUGUUGGACCUUGUACUAUCAGUAUUCCCCCCUCUUUGCGUGCUGGGGUGUGGGUUUUUGGUGAUGUCCCAGGAUGCGAGAUCCUCUCUCACCAGUUCUCCCCCUUCUACGCCUGUGAGGUUAUACCUAUGCUUCCACGGAGGUUGUCACAUGCUUUUGCUAACUAUUGUCCGGUUUGUCCUAGCCGAAGCAUACUCCUUGCGCAAUGCCUAGCCCGAUUUCCGAACGGAACCCUGCUUGCCCACCUUGACGCCUUGCCUGAGCUAUCUCCGAGCAAUGUUCGAGUCCCUUUCCCUGUGGCUGGGAUUGAAAGUUGUCUCUUCUACCUAUUUUGUAUAGGUUGAGUGUACUUCCUCGUCUACCUAUGUUCUUUCAUAGGUGAGGUUUAUUUUUGUAUACUUGCCCCCUCCUUUUGCUUGCUGCUUCUGCGGCUGAGGUUGAGCGUGGUCCCUCGUCUACCUAUGUUCUUCCAUAGGUGAGCUCUAUUUUUUGAAUACUUGCCCCCUCCUUUUGCUUGCUGCUUCCGCGGCUGAGGUUGAGCGUGGUCCCUCGUCUACCGAUGUUCUUUCAUAGGCGAGGUCUAUUUUUGAGUACGUUCCUCGUCUACCUACGUUCAUCCAUAGGUGAGGUUUACUCUUGAGUACGUCUCUCGUCUACCUACGUUCUUCCGUAGGUGAGGUUCACUCUUGAACACUUACCCCUCUGUCUACAUUUUUUGUAGAAGGGGCUUGUGUUUAGCCGAUGUGUCCCCCGUCUACCUACGUUCUUCCGUAGGUGAGGUUCACUUUUGAGUACACCCCUCGUCUACCUACGUUCUUCCGUUGGUGCGGUUCACUCUUGAGUACGUCACUCAUCUACCUACGUUCUUCCGUAGGUGAGGUUCACUCUUGUACACUUACCCCUCUGUCUACGUUUUUUGUAGAACGGGUGUGUGUUUUGCCGAUGUGUCCCCCGUCUACCUACGUUCUUCCGUAGUUGAGGUUCACUUUUUUUUUUUGGAUGGGAUACGCAUCCUGACUCUUCUACCACCAAGACUUUCUCCGCCCACGUUCUUCCGUAGGUAGAGUUAAUUUGGCGUCCUACUUUGUUACUGCGUCCAGUAAUUGUAGGAGUUCAAAUAUCUUAGAGUGGCUCAGUUUAUUUUGUUGCCGUAUUGCCAUCGAGUUGUUUUUUCUGUGUGAAUUUCCACGACUCCUUAGGAGUAUUUCGCUUACACCCCCCUGCCUUGGUGAUUUUUUAAGGUCUAGGGAAUGUUUUUCCUACACCCCUCCUGCCUUGGCGUACUUCCGCAAUUCCAACUUGUCAGGAUUCUUUUUUCGACACCCCCCUGCGUAGCCCCACUCCCCGUCCUGUUUUGACCUCGGACGAGGGAGCUUUUGUAAAAAGGCUAGCCUUCCUUCACCCCAUCGCCGUGCCCGUCGUCACGCGAUAGAAGAUACUUUUAACCGACAAGGUUCUCCUUUGUUUUUUGAUUACCUACUUCUUGUGCAUGUUUAUCAACUCUGUUUUUAUUUCUCACAGAUUUUUAUUUGCACAAUCCUGGAGGUAUCCCUGAACGCGUGGGACAAAACGAAACUGGCACGAAGGUGUAUGUACCUGCCACCAAGCAUUCUGACGCCUGACACCUGAGGCGUCGUGCCCACCAGAAUUCUUACUGGGCUGAUUCCCCUCCUCCUGCCGGUGAGGAUCAAGUUAAUGAAGAGGAGGCACCCGUGAAGACUCCAUCUGCGCAGUCUGCUGCUGCUAAGCUUGCUUCCUUCUUCUGUUCGCCGGAAGAAGAGCAGGAAAAAGAUACUGGGAAGGGAGCCCAGUCGGAGGGGAGAAAGAGCCGAUCUGAGAAGAGGAAGACCCCUCCUCCAAGAACUGACCCCUCUCCUCCGAAGAAAGCGAGGAGACACUCCCCCCGGCGGAGGUAUCAUGACGGAGGUAUCAUGUUGGGGAGUCCUCCCGGGGUCGUUACACGUAUGCCUCUACCCGGGAGACUCAGCUGCCGGGGUAUCAAGGUUCCCAUCUUCGGAAUUAUGGGAACAAAUUUCCGAUAGUCGCUGACACGGAUGCCGCCCGAACUACGUUGUGGACCAUAUCUGGGUAUCCGAUGGACCGACUUGUUGAAGAAGUCAGGCAGAAUAUAAAUAAUGUAAGUGCUCUUGUUUUUACCUUUAUGAUGAGCUUGUUCUUACUUGUUUUUCCUUUUACAGCUCGCCUAUCUGUUUCAAGACUGUCUCUCCUCCUUGUCUCGUCUUCGUGAUUAUCAAUCCCUGGAAGACGAGUUGAAGAAAGUCAAGCGCAGGUGUAAAGAUUUAGAGGACGAAGUUCAGCAGAAAAUUUCAGAUGCCUCUACUCUUUCUGCCACUAACAAGAAGUUGGUUGAGGAUUGGUCCACUCAACGCAGACUUGUGGAUGAUGAGGGACGAGAACUCUCCAAAGUUCGUGGGGGGAGUUGGGGGCUAUCCAGAUUGAGCGAGAUGCCGAGCGGGCCAAGGUUGUGAUAAAGAAUGCUAUAAUCCAAGGGGUCACUCAGCAAUCUGAAGCAACUGAACAGACUCUUCGUUCUAUCAUGGAGCAAAAUGCCAUUUUUACUGAACGACUGAACAAAGGGAAAAGGAAAAACGUGAGACUUCCUAGUUGCUGAGUGACCGUGAUGUUGAUAUUAAGCAAUUGGUAGAUACCUUGGCCGGACAGACUGAGGAAAACCAGAAGAUGAUAGAUCAUAUGGGCCAGAUCCGAACUGAUUUUCUCGCUAACGUGCGAGAUUAUAAUGACUUGGUGGAUCUGGGUCCUCACGUAUUUCCUGGUUUUGAGGCCGAGGAUGUCCAUCGUUGGGCUCGCAAGUACCCGAAAGAAGCUACAGAGAUCCGAGAUCGGGCGCUUGCUGAGGAUGAUGAAGGGGAAGAAGGGGAGGCUUCGGGUGAAGACCAAGAUGACACUGGUGCAACAGAUAAAGGCUCAUUCUUUCCUACCAGUGAUAAACCUUCUUCUCCUCCCCCUACUUUGUAAUCUGUCCUUACUUUAUGUUCCUUCUGUACUUUUAUUUGAAAAUCAAUAUAUAUGAAACAUUUUUGUUAUAACUAUUGAUUGUGAUAACCAAACGACGUAUUAGUUAGGUAACUCAAACAGUUACAAUGAAUGUAUACAUACAACUCUACUUAAUUGUUAAAAGUAUAAUUGUAAGUUAUCUGCGUGCCAAGUGUUGGGAAUAUAUGUCCCAUCUUCCCGUUUUAACUUGUACGUGCCUGGUCGGAGUUCCUCCUCCACCACAUAUGGCCCUUCCCAAUUUGCGCCUAGUUUUCCCUUAGAGCAGUCCUUUCUACCGACGCUUGCUCUUCUCAAUACUAGGCUUCCUUUCCUUAUCGCUUUGUCCUUGACAUUUUUGUCGUGAUAUCUAGCGAUACUUUGUUUGUAAGCUGUAUUCUUUGCCUGUGCAUUAUCCCUUAGCUCAUCCACUAAGUCCGAGUUGUCGCACAUGAUCUCAUGUUUUCUUCCAUGUCAUAGGACAAGACUCUGACAGCUGGUAUGCUUAGCUCUGUCGGGAUUAGUGCUUCCAUUCCGUAUGCUAGUGAGAACGGGGUUUCCCCGGUGGGUGUUUUUUUAGUAGUUAUAUACGCCCACAGGAUCUCUGGUAGUAGAUUUGCCCACGCACCUUUGGCCUGUUCGAAUUUUUUCUUCAGUCCCUGAAUAAUGGCUCUGUUUGUGACUUCUACUUGCCCAUUACCCUGUGGCCUGUAUACUGAUGAAAAGUGGAUUUUAGUGCCCAUGUUCUCGCAUAACCUCGUAAACUCCCCACCGGUAAACUGUGUCCAAUUAUCUGUCACUAUGUGCAUUGGAACACAGAAUCUGCACAUUGUGCACUUGAAGACAAACUUCGUUGCUGCUCCUUGUGUUAUUUUGGGUACAGCCAGUGCCUCGACCCAUUUUGUGAAGUAAUCGACAGCCACAAAUACAAAUUUAGCCUGGCCUGUUGAUACUGGAAAUGGUCCCACAAUAUCUAGUCCCCACAUUGCGAAUGGGAUGGGGCUUUCUACCCCUGUUAGUUGAGUUGCGGGAUUUCUCUGUAUGUUUUUGUGUAUCUGGCGGGCCUUGCAUUUUCUUGCAAAUAGGACUGUAUCUUUCUUUAGUGUGGGCCAGAAGUAUCCCUACCUUAUUAUUCGUUGGGCUAGAGACCUUCCCCCUUGAUGUAUUCCGCAUACCCCCUGAUGUAUCUCCUCUACAAUGAAUUGCCCUUCAUCUGUUGAGACACAUUUCAUUAGAGGUCCAUCGUAGGAUUUCUUAUACAGAAUGUCACCGAUUAGGCAGAAUUUUGAAAUGCGUGUUUGUAAUUUACGCCUUUCAUUCUUGUUUUCUGGGAGUUUCUGCCCUUCAAAGUAUUCUAUUAAGGGUUUCCUCCAAUCUUCUGCCUGUAUUGUGACCAAAUUACAUAAAGAUGUAGAUGCUGAGUCAACUAGUAUCUCUCUCUGCCCCCCCCCUCGAAAGCAGAUGCUAGCUUUGCCAGGGCAUCAGCUGAGUUGUUUUGACUCCUUGGAAUCUGUUCUACCUCCACCUUGGUAAAUUGUUCUUUGAUUUUUUCUAAUGUAGCUGCGUACUGUACAAUCAGAGGUUCCUAAAAUGCGAACUCCAAUAUAAAUUGUCGAGCAACUAGUUGAGAAUCUGUUCUAAUGAUUAUUGAACAGGCCCCCAAGCUUUUGAGAAUUUUCAUGCCUUGAAUUACAGCUUCGUAUUCUGCUAUAUUAUUUGUAGCUGAGAAUAGUAAUCUGAUAGAAUGUUCAUAUAUCCUUUGGUCUGGAGUGAUUAUUUUUAUUCCCACUCCUGCACCUGUACUGCAGCUUGAGCCAUUAACCUCUACUAUCCAAGGAUUUUCCUUGCUUUCCUGUGUCAUGUCUGCAAUGAAGUCUUCUACUGCUUUCCCCUUGAUGGUCGUGGCAGGAACAAAGUCUACAUCGAACUCGCUUAACUCCAGUGCCCACUUCGUCAACCUUCCGGAAGUAUCUGGCAUGUGGAGUAUUCUGCGUAGUGGAUGUUUUGUUAAGACUUUAAUUGUAUGAGCCAGAAAGUAUGCUCGGAAUCUACGUGCUGCAUGUACUACUGCCAGGACUAUUUUCUCCACUGGAGGAUAUCGUGUUUCUGCCCCCUGUAGCCUUUUGGAGUGAUAGUAUAUUGGGAUUUGUUCGUUGUCCCUUUGACAUAUUAGAACUGCACUGAUAGCUUCCUCUGAAGCUGCUACGUAGACAUACAAUUCCUCCCCUACCUUUGGUGAAGUUAGGUGUGGUAGAGAAGCUAAAUGUGCUUUGAGUUGUUGAAAUGCCUCAUCGCACUCUGGAGUCUAUGUUACUGCCCCCUUUUGACUAGUAUUUAGUAACUGAAAAAAGGGUUUGCACUUGUCUGCUGUUUUGGAAAUGAACCGACUGAAGGCGUUGAUUUUUCCGUUCAGCUUUUGUACCUCCUUUAUUGUUCGAGGUGGUUCUGUUUCUAAUAUUGUUGUUAUUUUAUCUGGAUUUGGUUUUAUCCUUUUUGCCCUACAUAGAAUCCAAGAAAUUUUCCUUCUUGUACUCUGAAACUGUAUUUGGCAGGGUUUAACCUCAUCCCAUAACUCUGUAGAGUUUCCAGGGUUUCUUUCAGAUCAUUUGGGUAUUCACCUACUCUUUUGGAUUUUACAAGAAUGUCAUCUACAUAUGCCAGGACAUUUCUUCUUUCUUGCUUUUUGAAGACCUUGUCCAUUAGCCUUUGGAAGGUUGCUCCUGCAUUUCGUAGCCCGAAGGGCAUGACUUUGUAGAAGUAUGUUCCCCACUCUGUGAUGAAUGAUGUGGCUUCUUCAUCAUCUUCUUUCAUCAGAAUCUGGUUGUACCCUGAAUGCGCAUCCAUCAUAGAUAGCAAUUCAUUUUCUGAAGCUGCAUCUACUAAUCUGUCGAUGGAUGGAAGUGGAUAGCUGUCUUUUGGAAAUGCUUUGUUGAGGUAUGUGAAGUCUACGCACAUCCUCCAUUUCCAAUUAGAUUUUUUAACCAUGACUGGGUUAGCUAGCCACUUUGAGUACUUAACUUCCCGGAUGUGGCAAGCCUUGAUUAACUUUUCGCAUUCAGCCUUUGCUGCUUCCUUUCUUUCAGCUGCGAGUAUCCUUCGCUUUUGCCGUAUAGGAGUAAAGCUGCUGUCUAUGUUGAGUUCAUGGCAUGUUAUGGUCCGUUGUACCUGUGAGGGUGCUUCCCCUUCCCAUACAAACGUAUGGAUAUGAGUCUCUAAUAAAUGCAGUAAUGAUUUUUUCAAUUCGGAGGAUAUGGAUGUCCCUAUCAAGACUCCUCCUUUUGAGAGUUUGACUUUCUCAACUUGAUUGGCUGAGGUUAUGUCUUCUUCUUCCUCUCUUUCCUGGAUGUACAGGGUUAUUGGUUUGGCCAUUUUAGUUGCCUUCCUGUAUGAGUUUCUGGAGUCUUUCUGUGCUCCAAAAAUUGUUGCCAUUUUGCGAUCUUUUCCUGGAUACCUGAAGCAUUGGUGGUAAGAUGACGGUAUCGCCUUGAAACCGUGAAUGCUUGGUCUGCCCAGGAUCCUAUUGAACGGAGAAUCUAUGUUGACCACGAUGAAGUGUUCUGUGCGUGAGACUCUCCCGUUUCUUUUUCCUAGGGAUAUUUGUAAAUCGAUGACUCCUACUACUGGGGCCUUUGUGUUUGUGAACCCGUAAAUGGCUUCCUUGGGCGGGGUUAGUUGAUUCACCUUGUAGCCCAUUUUUUCGAAUGCAGCUAGGUACAGUAUGUCUACCGAGCUGUCAUUAUCCACCAUUACUUUACUCAGACUUAAGUCAUCCCCGAUGUCCACCUGUAUUACCAGCGGAUCUUCGUGCGGGUUGACCACAUUAUCUAGAUCUUCCUCAGAGAAGCUUAUUCCCUCGCUUGGGUAUGAUCUUUUCUUAGAUUUUGGUACAGUGGUAGUCUGCAUUACCUUUCGCGAGUAACUUCUGCUUUCUCCUACUAAUCCUCCAUCGAAGAUUAAAUUUAUUACUCUUCUCUUAUGGACAGUGUCUGAGUCGGGACUUUUCGAGCGUUGGCGCUUACCCUUGUUAUUCAGGUCCUUGCAACCUUGUCGCCCCCUUUCUACUUGAUUUAUAUAUUGCUUCAGCUUUCCUUCCUUUACCUGUAUGUGUAGGAAAGUGCUUAGUUCCCUGCAAUUUUCUGUGUUGUACCCGUAGUCCUUGUGGAACUUGCAGUACUUGUUCCUCCUUGCUCGGGCCUUUUUGUUGCAGGGUUUAACUCUUCUGGUUGAGGAAACCUUAUUUUGCCUUUUUCUCUAUUAUAGAUUUCCUCUUUUGGAGUGCUGAAAACCGUGAAUCCCAAGUCUUUAUACCUUAGAUAUUUUGACUUUCCGAACUCCUUAGAUGUCUGAUAGACCUUCCCAUCGUGUUUUGGUCUCCAGGAUGGUUCUCCUUUUUCAAACUUCUGAAAUUUUUUCUUUGGUGUUUCAUAUGCCUUUUUGUUGCUUAUGGCACCUCUUUCUUUUUCUUUUACUUUUUCAUACUCCUCAGAAUUUAUGUACUUCUGGGCCUUUGUUAGCAGGUCUUCUCUGCAUUUCACAUUACUAACAUUUAGCUUUAUGGAUAAUGGUGUGUUCAUGUCUAGCCCUUUUGAGUAUGCGCAGAUCGCAAUUGUUGUGUUCAGGUCGGAGAUUUUUUGCAUGGCUUCUGUGAAUUUAGUUGUAUAAUUCCGAAGCGUUUCUCCAUUUUGUUUGAUUGCGAAUAAUGAUUCAGUACCCUUCCUGACCCUUGUGUUUCCACAAUGCUGAGCAAUGAAUUUUUUCUUCAGGUCUGCAAAACUUGUUAUGCUCCCUGGCUGUAGUUCGACGAACCAUCUGUAUGUAGGCCCUUUUAGUGUUCCUGGGAAUGCUCUGCAUAGGAUGUCAUCCCUUGCUGUGGCCCAUUGCAUUGCUCCCACGAACAUGUUUAUAUGGUCCACUGGGUCCAUCUUCCCAUCAUAGAUCUGUAGCCUGGGUAGCCUGAACUUCAGAGGUGCUGGUUUUACCAUUAGCGAUUUAUGCAAGGCAUCCAUGCCCACCAGCCAGUUCGGGACUUCGCCUUCUUCUCCUUCUGUGUCUCUCGUGCCUUCUUCGUACACAGGUUUUUUAGGAGAAGGUUUAGAUUGCUCCUCUGACUUGCGGGGUGGCAGUGCGCUAGAGUGUGCUGCCUUAUAGCUUGACACCUCAUGUUGUGCCUUAGCCUGUUUUGAUGUUUGAGCCUUUGAAUAAAACAUUGAUGCUUUGGAUUUUUCAAUAUUCUUUAUUUUUUCGCUCAUUUUUGCUAUGGUUUCUUUCAUUUUCUCCAGUUCCUCUAUGGGCAUCUUUACGAAACCGUGAGUGGUUUCUGAUGCUGAAGCCCAUGCUCCCUGAUUACUCACAAGUUUUUCCUUCUGAGGUGGUUCUUCCGAAGGUUUCUCCUUCUCAGCGAGGAGUCAGAUGGCCUCAGCUAUUGCCUGUACUGUGGUAUUCAGGUUCUCCCCUCCUGCUGAUGCAUGGGGGGUUUGCUCGGGCUCACCUUUGGGUUCAGCCUUAGGUCCAGUGGGAGUCCUUUUAUUCUUGUUUCCCUUGGGUGGUCGACCCACUGGUCUUUUAGUUUUUGAGUUGCCAGGCUGUUGCUCUGGCGCCUCCUGAGAAUUUGCUCCUCCUUGGGAAGUACUUCGUAUUACUACCAUCCUGGAGUGUUCGACUUUUUUUUUAAAAAAAGUCGAUUCCUGUGCACUUGGAGAAUUCCUUGGAAAUCGUAGCCUGAAAACGUAGCUCAUUGAGGAAUCGACUAUUUCCCUUGGAAGAAAAAAGUCGAUCCCUUGCUGGCUGAUUUCCUCGCAAGACUCCCUAGCUGGUGACUUGGAAAAAAGUCGAUCCCCUUUUUUCAAAAAAGUCGAGGAGCUUUUGUCGUGAGUAUCUUUGAAUCACAGACGGCGCCAACUGAUGAGGGUGAAACCCGACCAGUACUCCAAAACGCGCAGGCAAGCGCCAAGCGGGGAACUCCGCGGGAAAUCGGACCGGAACUUGAUGAAGCACUGAAUCUGCUACCAGGGCUCGCGGUAGUGCGAGGUUGAUGCCGGAGGCUUUGGAGUCCACGACGCACGCUCUACGUCAAAUACCUGCAAGUGGAAACUAGACGAUUCUAAUGAGACUCGCCGAGUUUCGUAGUGAUGCUCUGGUGUGAGAGAGGAACUUGAAUCGUGCCUUUGAGUGUCCCCUUGAGACCCUUUUUAUAGGAUCUCGGCGGACAUCGCGCCUAUGGUCAUAUAUGGUAACAUUUAUGACGUUGGUUGCGGGCGAGUAACGGUCGUAAGUCACCGAUUCAGGUAUGGAAGUCGCCUAGUUAGGGCUAACUCAGCGAGUUUCUAUGGCCAAGAUGUACAGUCUACCAUACUGCCGAUCUUGCCUUAACUCGGCGAGUUAUCCUGUAUGUCGGCGACUUGGUAGUCCAAUCGGGCGACUUACGGGCUAACUCGGCGAUCUGGACGAUGAACGUGUUCCGCACCGUGGGAGCUCUCCGGGGGUCCUGCCAUAGCGACGGAGCCCUAGUCCUUGUUGAAAGGCGUUGCUGGGAGUGACUGACGUAAUCAUGCAUGUCUCACCAGUACUCCCCCCUGAAGAGAGCACAAGAAACAUGCGUGUAUCGCCAGUCCCCCCCCCAACCAAGGUUCAAUAUGUGUGAUCCAGCACCAAUGCCAAAGCGACAAGAUGAGAUCGAAUCAUCCGCCCACAGUGACGUAAUGAUUCAGAAUCCAUAGGCCAAAGCGUCAAGAAUGGAUCGAGUUCCAGGCCAAGGUAACUCUGUUUAUAGUCCUUCCCUGAUCAAGGACGACUGCACUGUAUUAUCAAGGCCGAAGCGACAGGAUAAAUUCCGGCUAAAGCGACGGAAUCGAUUCAGGCCGGAGCGAUAGAAUCGGGUUCUUGCCAGAGCGAUAGAACCAAGUUCUAGCCGAAGUGAUAGAACUAAUAUUUAUAGUCCACUCUGAUCAAGAGCGAUUUAAAGUCCACAACGACGGCCCCCUUCAAGGCUUAAAGCGACAAGAUGGGUUGAGAUCGUUAAGGCCAAAGCGACAGAACGAUCUCUAGUGUAUCAAGGAAGAAUGCGACAAGAUACUUGGACUCAGUAUUAGAGUCUUAUUCUGGCCAAAGCGACAGAAUAAUACCUGCAAAAAAGAAAAUAUUCUGGCCAAAGCGACAGAAUAAUAUCUGCAAAAAAGAAAACAUUCUGGCCAAAGCGUCAGAAUAAUAUUUGCAAAAAAGAAAACAUCCUGCAAAACAACUAGAUCAGUGUAAAAACGCAUAUGACUAUUGACCGAUUUUACCUCUAGCGAUAUUCUUCUCUUUACUUUAACCAAUCCUCGGUGAAUCUGGCCGAAGCGACAGACUCACCGUGCUCAUGUUUGACGACUUCUUGCCACAGCGACAGAAGUGUCGGGAGAGCUUGUGAUACUCCCCCUCGAAGUUUGACAAUUUCUGGCCGGAACGACAGAAAAGUCGGGAGAGCUUGUGAUACUCCCCCCUGAAGUUUGACGAUAUCUAGCUGAAGCGAUAGAAAUGUCGGGAGAGCUUGUGAUACUCCCCCUGAAGUUUGACGAUAUCUAGCCGAAGCGAUAGAAAUGUUGGGAGAGCUUGUGAUACUCCCCCCUGAAGUUUGACGAUAUCUAGCCGAAGCGAUAGAAAUGUCGGGAGAGCUUGUGAUACUCCCCCCUGAAGUUUGACGAUUUCCGGCUGGAGCGAUAGAAAAGUCGGGAGAGCUUGUGAUACUCCCCCCUAAAGUUGUGGUAGGGGGCUUAUGAUUUUUCCCCCUAAGAUACUAUAUGAUAUCCUAAGUCGGCGACUUAAGGUGUUAACUCGCCGACUUAGCAUUGGAGUUGUUUUUUGAGAAACCUGGAGGUUCGCUGACCUAGAUCGGCGACUUUCCUAUAAACUCGGCGAGUCUUAGUAUGAGCUGGCGGAUCUCUUCGAGAAUCCUUAGGAUCUUGGGAAAUAUUCGCAAAUUUUCCAAGUAUGGAAAUUUCCUCUUCGUAUCCCGUGAUUUUUGCCCAAACUCGGCGAGUUUGCGAGAGACUCGCCGAGUUUGUGGAUUUGGAAAUCAAUUAGCGAUUUUUCUUCGCGUAAUUUUUAGAUUUUCCGGGGGGGUUUUGCUAUUUAUCCNNNNNNNNNNNNNNNNNNNNNNNNNNNNNNNNNNNNNNNNNNNNNNNNNNNNNNNNNNNNNNNNNNNNNNNNNNNNNNNNNNNNNNNNNNNNNNNNNNNNNNNNNNNNNNNNNNNNNNNNNNNCCAGAACUUCCUUCCAAGUCGCCGAGUCUAAUCUUAAAUCGCCGACUUAUGGCAGACGAACCGUCGCUUCCUAGAUUGACAAUGUCGGAGACCGAGGCUCCGGUCGCCGACAUACUGAAUGAUGACAUCGAUGAAGGCUUGACGGGGAUGCUCGAUACCGUCGAGUCUCCGAUUCCCUCGCCUUCGCGCGGUGGGUCGGAGAUUCCGGCUGUCGACGCGCCACAGAACGUCAAGUUCCUUGCUACUGCCCGCGAGUUGCUCGGGCUGACUCCUGAAAACUCGCCGAGUUCCCACAAGAAAUCGGCGAGUUUAACGGAUGACUCCCUGACUCUGGUCGUGGCAGAGCAUUCUGUUGAACUGGGUGAGAUCCCCCCAACUUUUGCACCUAAAUCGGCGAGUCCCCUUGGGAAGUCGCCGGCCAAAGGCAAGGGGGGUGUCCUCAUGUUUAAGAGACCUCGCCGAGUAAUUCAACUCGGAUCGGCGAGUUCCGCACAAACAUCGGCGAGUCUGGACCCUAAGUCGUCGAUGUUGCCCCCAAACUCGGGGGUUGAAGUUGAACAAUUUGCACCCAUCCAAGUGGUGGAGUCUGAGGGGCCGAUUGACGAAUCUGAGAGGCCGAAGAAAAGAAAGAGGAAGCACCCUAAACAUGCAAGGGAUUCCUCUGAGAAACCUAGCGAGGGUAAUGCCCCUAUUCCUCACACUUAUGGGAUGGGUGGUAAANNNNNNNNNNNNNNNNNNNNNNNNNNNNNNNNNNNNNNNNNNNNNNNNNNNNNNNNNNNNNNNNNNNNNNNNNNNNNNNNNNNNNNNNNNNNNNNNNNNNNNNNNNNNNNNNNNNNAUCGCACACUCCUCGUCCUCCUAUGGAAAUGGACAAGGAUGGAGAUCAUGUGAACCUCCCGUUCUACGAGGGAGUGGAGAACCACACCGGCUAUGCACACUGCGAGACCUUGCCGGGUGGUGAGAUUAGACUGCUGCCCCAUAGCGACACGGACGAGGGGUCUUUUGAGGAGGUUUCUGUCAAUGCACCUCUCGUGCCUCAGAACGAGACCGUGCAUCCUUUUUCGAUUACCUCCGCACUUGAAGCCCGUGAAAUUCUGCGCGGAAUUCGUAUAUCUAGGCAUCUGCGAUUUUGGGGAUCGCGAUAUCAGCCCGCGAAUCUACCUCCCGCGGGGUUCCAAGCCAUCCCCAGACUCUACUUCAAACACUUUUCAAUACUGCCAAUUCCUGCACUGAUGAGCGAAGUGUUGCUUCAAGGGGGGGUCUCGCUGUCGCAGAUGCAGGCAGCAUUUUUUGUCUAUUUGAGAGGUUUCUCCAACAUCUGUUGGAGCCAGAACAUCCCUGCAACCGCCGCCUUAUUUUUCUGGUUUUUCAAAUUUGUCAAGGCGCCCGCUUCCGAAUCUGGUCGGUUGGGGUUGGCGAAGUGGUUCAACGGAAGAGAGCUGAUUAUAGAACUCCCCACUAACUACGGGCCCCAGUGGAAGAGUGAGUUCUUCUUUAUUGAUUCUACAUUUGUACGCGGGAGCCGCGAGAGGUGGGCCAACGCUCGCCGCGUACACCUGGAUGUUCCUUGCGCCCUGAGCAAGGCUGAACUGAAGCGGGUGAAGAAGAUCUCUUCUGCUCUCGCUUCUUUCGAAUAUGGGUAAAGAGUUCCUUUCGCUUUGUGCCAGCGAGAGGAUUUUACUUUUUCUGAUGUGGCACACUACCUGCGGUCAGAGGACCCUUCUGGCAACCCAAUCAGGAAGAAGAAGGGUGCAUAUCUCUACCGCGAGGCGGUCCUUCCCCACUUGGCCGUGAGACUUCGCAGCGCAAAGCUGAUUAGAGAACGGAAGGCCCAAGAAACUGGCCCUCGCAGGACCUUCGAGACUGGGUCGAGCUUGAGGUCUGUUCCUGAAUUCACCCCCUUCCGCACCACUUUUGAUUAUCCGGGCUUGUUUGCCGAUGAAGGGGUGCGAGCGAAGGCUGCCCAGCUGCUUUUGACCAAGCCUGGGGAUUGGAUACGUGAAGAGCUCAGCAAAGCUAUAUCUGCUGUAAGUGACUAACGAUUGCUUUUUAUUUAUAUGUUUUUCAUUUUAUUUUUCUAAUUGAUUGUUUUGUUUUGUAGGUCGCGUAUCUAUCAAAUGCAUCGAUUGGGAUGCAAUCUGCUAACGACACACUCCGUUCUCAACAGGAGUACAACAAGCUUGAUGACAAGUAUCAAACUGUCUGCAAAGAAGUGUGGUCGUUGAGAAAGACCCUCCAACGGAAUAAGAAGUUGGAGGAGAAAGCUGCUGAGCACGAGAAAGCGAUGGCGGCGAAGAAUAAAGAGUGUGCUGGGCACCUACUCGAUAUCGCGAAUCUUCACCAACAAUGUGACUCCCUGAAAGAAUCUGAGCUGCGUCUCGCUGCUGCCCUAAAAGAAGUUGAUGGGCUGAAGACGCAGUUAAGUGCGGAAGUGGGAAAUGCUAUGGUUUCUGAAUCGCAAAUUCAGAAACUCAAAGUAGAACUUUCUGAAUCCACUUCUGCCUUGAAAGAUUUGGAAGAUCGCUUCUCUCGGUCCACGAAGAAGUCGAAGAAGAUGAAGGAAGCUCUGGACGCUUCUUCUGAAAAAGUCAAGGAUUUGGAGUUCGAUGUUGAUGGACAAUCUGAUCAACUCCAGGACUUGAACUUUUUUGGUCCUCACGUGUUUACGAGUCUGCCCGCCAACUACAUUUCAGAUAUUAUGGCGUGGCUAGAAGAGCAUCCUGAAGUACAGCUGGAGCACAAGGAGGUCUUAGAUAAGAUCAAAAGCGAUGUUCGCGAAGCGAGGAAAGAAGAUUGAACUAUCAUUGUAAUAGAUUUCCUUCUAUUUUUUGUAGUGGAUUUUGUAAUUUAUUUUUUGUGUUAAUGAAACUACUUCUUUUUCUUUGCUAAUGUGUUUAGACUUAAACUAGAUUUAUAAAUCGUAACUUAGUCGCUCUGGACGUAAGUUAGAUACUUUUAACUCUACUUAGCCACUUAGGACGUAAGUUUGGUCGUAUGAAUCGUAGCUUACUUAGCCACUUAGGACGUGAGUUUGGAAAAACUCGACUUAACUAGAUUCCCAAAUCGUAACUUAGUCGCUUUUGGACGUAAGUUAGAUUCUUUUAACUUUACUUAGCCACUUAGGACUUAACUUAAACUAGAUUCACAAAUCGUAACUUAGUCGCUCUGGACGUAAGUUAGAUUCUUUUAACUCUACUUAGCCACUUAGGACGUAAGUUUGGUCGUAUGAAUCGUAGCUUACUUAGCCACUUAGGACGUGAGUUUGGAAAAACUCGACUUAACUAGAUUCCCAAAUCGUAACUUAGUCGCUUUUGGACGUAAGUUAGAUUCUUUUAAUUUCACUUAGCAACUUAGGACGUAGGUUUAGUUGUACGAAUCGUAGUUGAACUUAACUUAAACUAGAUUCACAAAUCGUAACUUAGUCGCUCUGGACGUAAGUUAGAUUCUUUUAACUCUACUUAGCCACUUAGGACGUAAGUUUGGUCGUAUGAAUCGUAGUUAAACUCAAUAGAUGAAAGUGGUUUGAUAUCCACUAAUUCUUGAUUCGCUCGUGCAAAUAAGAGUCGUAGUCGCAAUUCUAGGUUUGCGUGUCUGAAUUGGACCUAUUUAUUCUAACCCUGGAUUUGAACCCUUGACGAUGUAGUCCGACUCCUAUCCUAGUGAUGGAGUGACUUAUUGAUCCAUAUCAAGGCCGAAACGACAAGAUUGGAUAGGAUCAUUUAGGGCCGUAGCGACGGAAUGAUCUUUGUUCUACUGAGGCCAAAGCGACACAAUAGAUUUAGGGUAUCCAUACGGGUUAGAAUGCGUAAAUAUAUUUUAUGAUUAGCUAACAUACAUACUAGGAAAAUGAAAGAAAAUAAACUUGAUGCUUGUGAGUACUAUGCGUAGUACUGCUGCAUGUUGUCCGCAUGCGCGGUGUUAGGAACCAUCGUUCCAUCCUGUCGUCGUAGGCGAUAAGUUCCUGGCCUUAUCUCCUCCUCAACGAUGUAGGGACCUUCGAAGUUGGAAGAUAGUUUAUUUCUUGGCCUAUUCCUUUCUGUUAUGCUAGCCUGUGGGGUUCUUACUCGUUGUGCGAUAUGCCCAUAGGAUUUCGCACAACUUGUCUACCCAGGUUCCUUUGGCUGACUCGAUUUUCUUUUUCAAUCCCUAUACGAUGGCCUUAUUGGUGACCUCCACUUGCCCGUUUGCCUGAGGUCGGUAAACGGAGGCGAAGUGGAGUUUUAUAUUUAGGUCCUCGCACAUUCUUGAAAACUUUCCCCCCGUGAAUUGUGUGCCAUUGUCCGUGACAAUGUCAUGGGGGACACCGAAUCGACAGACUAUGGGGCGAUAGACUAUUGUCCGUGAUGAAGGAUGUUUUUUCCUUAUCAGGCUCAUGCAUCAGGAUUUGAUUGUAUCCUGAGUGGGAAUCCAUUGUAGAGAGGAGCUCGUUACCGGAUGCUCCAUCGACUAGUUCGUCGAUAGAUGACAACGGGUAACUGUCCUUGGGGCAUGCUUUAUUGAGAUCAGUGAAAUCAAUACACAUGCGCCAUUUGCCAUUGGGCUUCUUGACCGGGACGGGGUUGGCCAACCAAGUCGGGUAUCGAACCUUUCGAAUGUGCCUGCAUUCAAGAGUUUUGAUAUUUCCUCAUUGGCUGUCUCCCGCCUGUCGGGAGUGAAUACUCGACGCUUCUAGCGUCAAGCUGGAAUGGAUGAGCCGACGUUCAGUUUGUGCGCGCAAUCUGUGUCGGUGCCUCACCCUCCCAAACGAACCUGUCCUAGUGCUCCUCCAGGACAGUCACAAGCUUGGCUUUUAAGGCAGGGGGUAACCCCUUCCCUAGUACCACUUGUCCCCCUCCAGCUGGCAUACCUCAGUCUCGUCCGCAGGUUGUAAUUUUCCCUCUCCUCGAUGCUAGGUGGGGCGUGGACGAGCAUGUUGUCGAGUCAGCUGGGUUGCCUUCUUAUACCAUUGUCUAGAAUCUUAUUAUGAUCCUUUAACAGUCGCAACGAACCCGUUUACUGGGUAUCGAAUGCAUUGGUGAUAAGAAGACGGGAUUGCUUGGAUUCCGUGGAUGAAGGGGCAUCCGAAUAUGCCAUGGAAAGUGGAUUCUACCUCCACUACUAUGAAACGACAUAUUCGGCUAACCCUUCCUCGCUUGGAACCAAUGGAUACCUUUAGAUUAAUAACACCGACCACUGGGCGGCGAUGUUAGUGAAACCGUAGAUGGCCUCCUUACAGGGAGAUAGUUCCUCCCUUUUAAAGCCCAUCUUGGUAAAAGUAUCCAUGUAGAGGAUAUCUGCAGAGCUGCCGUUGUCGACAAUCAUCCUCUCGACUCAGGAAUUAGGACCGAUGUCUGCCUGGAUCACGAGUGGGUCCUCGUGAGGUUAUAAGACUUCGGCCAGGUCCUCUUCGAAGAAGUAUAUUGACUUCUUCUCGCGGCUCCGCUUUCCGUUGUCUCGAGGUGUUGAUUGUGACAUCAGCACCUUUCGGGAAUAUCCCCUGUUCUGGCCAACAGAUCCACCACCAAAUAUCAUAUUGAUGGUCUUCCGCUGACGGUUCUCGCUGUUGUCGCUGUCUGGCGAAGGAGAGCGUGAACGCUUCCCCUUUGUGUCAGAUUUGCAGUUGUCCCGUCCUCGAGAUUUCUUGACGAAGUUUCCAAGUUCUCCCUUUGAGAUCAACUGCUCGACGAAAGACGAGAAUUCCCUGCAGUGGUCUGUUAGGUGGCCGCAGUCUUUGUGAAAUUCACAGUAUUUCCCAGAUUGUAUGCAGCCCUCUUUGCCUGCGGGGUCUAAAGAACGAGGGACAGGUAGAUCCGCUCGGUUCUUUAGCUUCUCAAACAGCUCGCCUUUGCUGAUAGUAAGCGGGGUGUUCCUUUUCCAUAGUGGAAUUGCACCCUUUGGCUUGCUGGUUGAGGCUUGGUAUACCUUGUUAUCAUGCCUAGGCUUCCAUUCUUUUUUGGAAGUCUUAGCCUUGUUACUGGUAUACUUGUUGGAGGUGUCGUGGAAAUUGUUGUUUCCACUGUACCCCUUCCUCUCAAACUUGGGCUUUUUGAAGCUAGGAGUCCCAAGUUCAGCUAGCUUGUUCUCAUCCUCCUCUUCUACCUCAAUGUACAAUUGAGCGCGUUGGAAGAGAUCGGGCAGAGAACUCACCUUGUAGAGAGUCAGAUUUUGGACCAGAGGGGAGUAGGGGACUAAUCCUCUAAUGUAUCCCGCUAUGGCCACACUUGGGAUUAAGUCGUUCACCUCUGUCAUCAUUGUGGUGAACUUGACCGUAUAAUCCCUCAGAGACAGUUUAUCCUGUCUGAGUGCCAGAAGUGCGUUGGCACUGUGUUUUAUCCUUAUCAUCCCCACAUGCUGGGCGAUGAAUUUGGAUGAGUGGUCUGCGAAGCUGGUGACUGAGCCAGCUGGCAGACCAGAGAACCAUCGAUAAGCACUGCCCUUGAGAGUGCCGGGGAAUGCUCGACACAGCAGCCCAUCAUCGAUGGUUUGCGGUUCUAAGACGUUGAGGUAGAGGUUCACGUGAUCUUGUGGAUCACUUGAACCGUCGUAUGCCUCGAUCCUGGGUACCCGCCAGUUUGUUGGGAAAGAUCCCUUUAAAAGGUCAUCGCGAAGAGGAGCACUUUUAACCCUUAGGAUCUCGUGCGGGUUGCCGACAGCUGGGUCAGUGGCCAACUUCUGCCGAAGAUCCUCUACGAACCGAGUAGUAAGCUUUCAGAGCGACUCUUACUGAGUCCCGUCUUGAGACGGGAACUCUGUUUUUUUUUCUCCACAGAUGGAGAAUAGAUGGAUCCAGAUUCAUCCGCUCUUUCACGGAUGGAGGUGGUCCUAUGGCUCCUCGCUUGCUCGAGGUUGGUCAUCCUUCUUUCAAUGUUGUCCAUGAAACUGAACAACCUUUCUUCCAAGGUGGGUGGAGCCUUGGGCACUAUGUAUUCCUCGACAUGAGGAGGAACCGAGUUUGUUUCAACAGGUUGAGCAUUGUUGGGUCCCUUAGGUCGGGAUUGCUCACCCUGUUCCAGCUCAGUUGCUGGCAUUUUUCCCUUACUUCCUGUGGCGUAAGGGUGCUUUUGUUUUUCGAUGAUUGCCAUGAAAACAAAAGCGAAGAAGUACCAAAGCAGAGAGGUACCUGACUGAGCUUGUUGGAAAAACAAAAAAUAAGCCGGCGAGUUAGGGGUUAACUCGGCGACUUUGAAAUUUUGUGGUUUUCCCGAACAAGGUCGUGGACAACACUCUUAGCUAGCAGACGAUAUUCCGGAUCGGGCGAUUCUCAAGGAUAAGUCGGCGAUUUAAGGCUAAAUCGGACCUUAACCGAGAAUCGGACGAUCUAAGUCGGCGAUUUUUUGACAAACUCGGCGAACUCUCUAGGAAUGCUCGAGCCGGAUUUUUAAAAAAUCGCGAUUACGACGGGAUACCGGUGGUUCGGUAGUCCCACAGACGGCGCCACCUGAUGAAGCACUGAAUCUGCUACCAGGGCUCGCGGUGGUACAAGGUUGAUGCCGGAGGCUUUGGAGUCCACGACGCACGCUCUACGUCAAAUACCUGCAAGUGGAAACUAGGCGAUUCUAAUGAGACUCGCCGAGUUUCGUAGUGAUGCUCUGGUGUGAGAGAGGAACUUGAAUCGUGCCUUUGAGUGUCCUCUUGAGACCCCUUUUAUAGGAUCUCGAAGGGCGCAAUCAAAGGCGGACAUCGCGCCUAUGGUCAUAUAUGGUAACAUUUAUGACGUUGCCUGGCGGCGAGUAACGGUCGUAAGUCGCCGAUUCAGGUAUGGAAGUCGCCUAGGUAGGGCUAACUCGGCGAGUUUCUAGAGCCAAGAUGUACAGUCUACCAUACUGCAGAUCUUGCCUUAACUCCGUGAGUUAUCCUGUAUGUCGACGACUUGGUAGUCCAAUCGGGCGACUUACAGGCUAACUCGGCGAUCUGGACGAUGAACGUGUUCCGCACCGUGUGAGCUCUCCGGGGGUCCUGCCAUAGCGACGGAGCCCUAGUCCUUGUUGAAAGGCGUUGAUGGGAGUGACUGACGUAAUCAGGCAUGUCUCACCAGAAAGCGUCCAUGCUCUCCUUCGCCGGACAGCGACAGCAGCGAGGACUGCCAACGGAAAACCAUCAAUAUGAUAUUUGGUGUUGGAUCCGUUGGCCAGAAUAGGGGAUAUUCCCGAAAGGUGCUAAUAUCACAAUCAACACCUUACGACAAUGGGAAACGGGUCCGGGAAGAGAAGUCGAUAUUCUUCUCUGAAGAGGACCUAAACGAUGACCUGCAACCGCACGAGGAUCCACUCGUGAUUCAAGCAGACAUCGGUCCCACUUCCCGUUUCGAGAAGAUGAUUGUCGACAGCGGCAGUUCCGCGGACAUCCUCUAUAUGGACACCUUCACCAAGAUGGGCUUUAAAAAGGAGGAUCUGUCUCCUUGCAAGGAAGCUAUCUACGGGUUUACUAACGUCGCCGCCCUAGUGGCUGGCGUUAUUGACCUGAAGGUCUCCAUCGGAUCCCGGCGAGGGAGGGUUAGUCGAAUAUGCCGUUUUAUAGUGGUAGAAGUAGAAUCCACUUUUCACGGCAUCUUUGGACGACUCUUCAUCCAUGGGAUCAAAACAGUCCCGUCUUCUUAUCACCAGUGCAUACGAUACCCAGUCAAAGGGGUCGUCGCAACCCUCAAAGGAUGACAAAAAGAUUCUAGACAAGGGUAUAAGAAGGCAACCUAGCUGCUCAAACUAAACAACAUGCUCGUCAACGCCUCACCCGACAACGGAGAGAGAGAGAAAUUACAACUCGUAGAUGACACUGAGGUAUACUAGCUGGAGGGGGAACACGUGGCACUAGGAAAGGGGCUAGCCCCCGACCUAAGGGCCAAGCUUGUGACUGUCCUGGAGGAGCACCAGGACAGGUUCGUUUGGGAGGAUGAGGUUCCGACAUAGAUUGCGCGUCAAAUCAUGACGCACAAGCUCAAUGUCGACCCAUCCAUCCUAGCUCGUCGCCAAAAUCGUAGAGUGCUCACUUCUGACUAACGGGAAGCCGCCAACGAGAAUGUGCGAUGACCUGGGCAAAAAACUCCACUUCGCGUCUGGCGAUAUACGCAUAUUUCUUGUGCUCUCUUUAGGGGGGACUUGAUGAAGCACUGAAUCUGCUACCAGGGCUCGCGGUGGUGCGAGGUUGAUGCCGGAGGCUUUGGAGUCCACGACGCACGCUCUACGUCAAAUACCUGCAAGUGGAAACUAGGCGAUUCUAAUGAGACUCGCCGAGUUUCGUAGUGUAGUGCUCUGGUGUGAGAGUGGAACUUGAAUCGUGCCUUUGAGUGUCCCCUUGGGACCCUUUUUAUAGGGUCUCGGAGGGCGCAUUCAUCGGCGGAGAUCGCGCAUAUGGUCAUAUAUGGUAAUAUUUAUGACGUUGGCUUCCGCCGAGUAACGGUCGUAAGUCGCCGAUUCAGGUAUGGAAGUCGCCUAGUUAAGGGCUAACUUGGCGAGUUUCUAGGGCCAAGAUGUACAGUCUACCAUACUGCCGAUCUUGCCUUAACUCGGCGAGUUAUCCUGUAUGUCGGCGACUUGGUAGUCCAAUCGGGCGACUUUACGGGCUAUCUCGGCGAUCUGGACGAUGAACGUAUUCCGCACUGUGGGAACUCUCCGGGAGUCCUGCCAUAGCGACGGAGCCCUAGUCCUUGUUGAGUGGCAUUGAUGGGUAGUGACUGGUGUAAUCAGGCAUGUCUCACCAGUACUCUCCCCUGAAGAGAGCACAAGAAACAUGGUGUAUCACCAGUACCCCCCCCCCCGUCAAUCAAGGUUCAAAGUGUUUGAUCCAGCACCAAGGCCAAAGCGACAAGNNNNNNNNNNNNNNNNNNNNNNNNNNNNNNNNNNNNNNNNNNNNNNNNNNNNNNNNNNNNNNNNNNNNNNNNNNNNNNNNNNNNNNNNNNNNNNNNNNNNUUCCAGGCCACGGUAACUCAUGUUUAUAGUCCUUCCCUGAUCAGGGGCGACUGCACUGUGUUAUCGAGGCCGAAGCGACAAGAUAAAUUCCGGCCAAAGCGACGGAAUCGAUUAAGGCUAUUUAGCGACAUAAUCGGGUUCUUGCCAGAGCGAUAAAACCAAGUUCUAGCUGAAGCGAUAGAACUAAUGUUUAUAGUCCACUCUGAUCAAGAGCGACUUAAAGUCCGCAACGACGGCCCCCUUCAAGGCUUUUUAGCGACAAGAUGGGUUGAGAAUCGUUAAGGCCAAAGCGACAGAACGAUCUCUAGUGUAUCAAGGCAGAAUGCGACAAGAUACUUAGACUCACUAUUAGAGUCUUAUUCUGGCCAAAGCGACAGAAUAAUACCUGCAAAAAAGAAAAACAUUCUGGGCAAAGCGACAGAAUAAUAUCUUUAAAACAACAAAAGAAAACAUCCUGCAAAACAACUAGAUCAGUCUGAAAACGCAUAUGAUUAUUGACCGAAAAUAACUCUUGUGAUACUCUUUUCCUUACUUUAGCCAAUCCUCGGUGAAUCUGGCCGAAGCGACAGACUGACCGUGUUUAUGUAUGACGACUUCUGGCCAGAGCGACAGAAAUGUCGGGAGAGCUUGUGAUACUCCCCCCUGAGUGUUGACGAUCUCUAGCCAAAGCGAUAGAAAUGUCGGGAGAGCUUAUGAUACUCCCCCCUGAGGUUUGACAAUUUCCGGCCGGAGCGACAGAAAAGUCGAAAGAGUUUGUGAUACUCCCCCCUGAGUUUUGACGAUCUCUAGCCAAAGCGAUAGAAAUGUCGGGAGAGCUUGUGAUACUUCCCCCUGAGGUUUGACAAUUUCCGGUCGGAGCGUCAGAAAAGUCGAGAGAGUUUGUGAUACUCCCCCCUGAGUUUUGACGAUCUCUAGCCAAAGCGAUAGAAAUGUCAGGAGAGCUUGUGAUACUCCCCCCUGAGGUUUGACAAUUUCCGGCCGGAGCGACAGAAAAGUCGAAAGAGUUUGUGAUACUCCCCCCUGAGUUUUGACGAUUUCUAGCCAAAGCGAUAGAAAUGUCGGGAGAGCUUGUGAUACUCCCCCCCUGAAGUUGUGGAAGGGGGCUUGUUCCCCCUAAGAUACUAUAUAAUGUCCUAAGUCGGCGACGUAAGGUGUUAACUCGCCGACUUAGCAUUGGAGGUAUUUUUGUGAGAAACUUAGAGGUUUCCUGAAGGGAGUUGUGAUAUUCCCUCUUAAAAUAUGACGAUUUCUGGCCGGAGCGACAGAAAUGUCGGGAGAGCUUGUGAUACUCCCCCUUUGAAACCUGCAUAAAAAGAUGUUCUGGCAGAAGUGGUAGGAGUGUCGGAGAGAGUUUGUGAUAAUCCCCCCGAAUUGUGACAACUUCUGGCCGAAGCGACAGAAGUGUCGUGGAGAGUUUGUGAUACUCCCCUUGAAAUGAAAUGACUUCUAGCCAAAACGACAGAAGUGUUGAUGAGAGUUUAUGAUACUCUCCUCCAAAGAUGGGCGAGACGGCUUCCGGCUAGAGUGACAGAAGCGUCGGAGAGAGUUUGUGAUACUCCCCCUUAAAUCGUGCCGUUGUGACAGAUUGUAGAGUUAUGCUUUGGAUGUUUGUGCCCGAGGAGAUAGAAUUAUUGAGGAGAGCUUGUGAUACUCCCCUCGAAAAUCAUGUCCACUCGACAACUUUUAAAAUAUUGGUGUAACGAAGGUAUUGGAGGGAGCUUGUGAUACUCCCCCCCGAGAAUCAUGUCGUCGUGACAUAUGAAUUUUUGAAAUAUUUUGCAAUCUUCCUAUUUUGAUUAUCAGUGGACUACCUUUUUUCUUUGCCAAUCUUCCAUAUAAACCACCUUUAAAUUGUAACCUAGGCUCAAAACUAGAUUCACAAGCCGUAACUUAGCCACUCUGGACGUAAGUUAGACUCUGCUAACCCUUGCUUAGCCACUUUGGACGUAAGCUUGGUCGUACGAAUCGUAGUUCAGUCGUCAGUUAAAUUAGCGGAUAAUUUAUAUCUCCAAAUUGACGCAGAGUUGCAAAGAAUAGUACCGAUAAACCAAAAAUUAAGAUGCACAAUAUUAUUUGGAAUCGUAGGGUUGGAUCCGCAAUUUAGGACUACAAUUCUAGAUUUGAACCCCGGUGUUUUAGCCAAGCUCCAGCCAUAGCGAUAGAGUGACUCUCGAUCCUCAUCAAGGCCAUGGCGACAAGAUGGGAUAUGAUCAUUAAGGCCACAGCGACAAAAUUAACACCAGGGUACCAUUAAUUGUAGUCGCAAAUAUUUAGAAUCUCAUGAUUUGAUUCGUAAAUUGGAGUCGUAAUUUAGAUUCUUAAGUCGCACCUUGGACUUGUAAAUCGUAAACUUGACUUGAAAUCGUAAUUUAGACUCUUUGUCGUAAAUUAGAUUUUGUAAUCAUCACUUAGACUCGUGGGUCGUAAGCUAGAUCUGAGUAACGGGUGUCAUCCGGCCAAAGCGACGGAUUGAUCCCUAUGAAAUUAUCCCUUGUAGGUUUGCUGUAUUAAUCCUAGAACCGUAACGUAGGCUCGAAACUGGACUCGCAAAUCGUAAACUAGACUUUUAAUCGUAAUUUAGACUCUUUGUCGUAAAUUAGAUUUCGUAACUAUCACCUUGACUCGUGGGUCGAACAGGUGAUAGAUAAGGUCGAAGCGACGGAUGUCACCCAGCCGAAGCGAUGGGUGAUUGAUCCGUCUGAAGUGAUGAAUGAUUAUUCUAAAUGUUGCAUACAUAUCGCAGAAUAAAAUCGCUGUUAGAUUGCGACAACUAAUAGAACAAUAGAAACGACAACCAAAAGAGUAGAUGAGUUCUUUUGAUGUUUGGUUGCCACUGACGGAUGCAUAGCCUAUUUAGUUACUCUAGCCUAUCUUUGACAGAUGGUAGUUACCCACUAAUAGCGUGACACGCUUGAUUGUGAGUGUGAACUGUGGCUUUCGUUGCCAUCACUGUCAUAGGAUUGAGAGCGUAAGCUAUGGCUUUGGUGGCCAUAACUUUUACCAGACUGAGAGUGUGAGUUAUGACUUUGGUGGUCAUAACUGUUACCAGACUGAGAGUGUGAGUUAUGACUUAGGUGGCCAUAACUGUUACCAGACUGAGAGUGUGAGUUAUGACUUAGGUGGCCAUAACUGUUACCAGACUGAGAGUGUGAGUUAUGACUUAGGUGGCCAUAACUGUUACCAGACUGAGAGUGUGAGUUAUGACUUAGGUGGCCAUAACUGUUACCAGACUGAGAGUGUGAGUUAUGACUUUGGUGGCCAUAACUGUUACUGGAUUUAGGGUGUGAGCUAUGACUCUGGUGGUCAUAACUGCUACCCGGAGACUCCUCGCUGUAUCGAAGAAGAGUAGUCGAGGUUUCGGAUUGGGAACUUGUAUCCUUGUAUGCAUCUUCUUUAGCAUAGCAAGGUUUCUUCCGGCUGGACGGCUCGAGUUCGUCCAGCUUGUCAUUGUUCUCCUCUUCUAUCUCAAUAUACGAUUGAGCUCGUUGGAAGAGGUCGGGCAGGGUCUCCACUUUAUGGAGCAUCAGAUUCCGGGCCAAAGGGGAGAAGGGUACCAACCCUCUCACGUAUCCUGCUAUGGCCAUACUUGGGAUUAGAUCGUUCACUUCUGUCAUCAUCGAAGUGAACUUAAUCGUGUAAUCCCUCAGAGACAGCUUGUUCUGUCGUAGUGCCAGUAGUGCGUUGGCACUGUGUUUUAUUCUGAUCAUCCCCACAUGUUGGGCGAUGAACUUGGAAGAGAGGUCCGUGAAGCUGGAGACUGAGUCAGCCAGCAGACCGGAAAACCAACGAUAUGCGUUGCCUUUCAGAGUGCCUGGGAAGGCCCGACACAACAACCCGUUAUCGGUAGUUUGUGGCUCCAAGAUAUUCAGAUAGAGGUUAACAUGAUCCUCAGGAUCUGUCGUUCCAUCGUACAAGUCUAUCUUGGGACACCGCCAAGAUUGCGGAAAAGGUUUUCUUAGGAGGUCCCUAUGAAAGGGUGCCCUUCCUAUUCUGAGAAGAUCAUGUGGGUCCCUUAGGUCAUGCUUGUCUUUACGAAGCAUUUCCUUGAUUACCCUAUUCAUGAGUGUGGCAUCGUAAUCCGCACGAGUCGUGGAACUCGAAGGUACACCCGAGUGAUGUACUGCGGACCUGUGGUGAGAACCGAGAUGCUUGUGUCUCUUUGUUUCACCGUGGUUGUCUCCCAUAGGAGAGUGAUGCGAGUUGGAUUUGGGUUGCCCUGAAAUUGCAGGACUCUUUCCCUUGAGCUCUCGAAGCUCCUUGGAUAUCCUUGAUUCGGACCGAUGAUGCAUACUUAAGUUUGUCUUCCUCAAAUGUGGGUUAGACUUGCUUGUCGUACAUCGUAUGGUGGUCCGGCUCCUUGAAGCCUCUAGGUUGGUUAUCCUUUUGUCCAACUUCAACAUAAGAGCAUGCAUGUGCGCAAGCCUCUCCUGUGUUGUCGGAGUUGGGUUCACAUCCCCAUUUAGUGUGAGUGGUGAGGACACCUCAUGUGUAGGUGAUGGUGCAUUAGAGGUUGGUACAGUACGAGGACCAACCCCUCUGCUAGAAACUCCUACCUCAGUAGCAGUGGCGAGAGCUUUCUUUUUAUGAUCCUUAGUAAAAGGAGCCAUAAAUGGGAUGGUUGCUUCUAUCGGGUCGAAGCAACAGACUACGAGCGGAAGUUCUUCCGAAGUGUUGGAAGCUAUGGGUAGGUACCUGCCCCCCCGGGUGUCACAAAACAGAGAACAUUUCGUAUAAUAUUUCUUUACAGUUUUGUGACCCCCUUGAGCAGUGAAACUAGUCCCCAAAGUUUGAAAUCUGCCAAAAAAUAUCGAAAUUUUUUUGCAUUAUUUUGGCAGAAAAUUGUGCCGCCGGAGGUUGUUUUUGGGAUGCCUCUUUAGACCUAUCCCAGAAAAGAUUCCUGGCACUCUUUGGAAAUUCUGCUCUUUGGUACUCGUAGAGAAAACUUUUUUCACAUGAUAUGUGGUCUCAUAAUCCCAAAAUCGGAUCUGGGUAUUCCGGAGGUUGACCGACGAAAUCACUGGAAGUGAAAAAAGGCGAAAAUCCCCAUACUCUUUUUUUUUUUUUACCGAAACGAUGAGGCGAAUCCAACCGUGACGAUGGAUUUUCGUUUCGGUAAAAGAGCUGGGCUAUGAGUGGUCUUAUUCAGCCAAAGCGAUGAAUGAAGACGAUAAUCGAAUGGGCGAGUUUGCCCCUUGAUAGGCGAGUUUGCCCAAGAUAGGCGAGUUUGCCCAAGAUAGGUGAGUUUGCCUAAGAUAGGCGAUUUUUACUUGGGAAAAAUCGAACCUAUGCGAAGACGUAAGUUCCAGAACAAAGGAUGACUUGACCGAGCUUGUUCAAAAAACAAAGAAAUAAGUCGGCGAGUUAGGGGAAAACUCGGCGACUUUAGAUUUCGAGGUGUUUUUCGAACAAAGUCGUGGACAGCACUCUUACCUAGCAGACGAUAUCCGGAUCGGGCAAUUCUCAAGGAUAAGUCGACGAUUUAGGGCUAAAUCGCACCUGAACCGAGAAUCGGACGAUCUAACUCGGCGACUUUUUAACAAACUCGGCGAACCCUCUAGGAGAGCUCGAGCCGGAUUUUUAAAAAAUCGCGAUUACGACGGGAUACCGGUGGUUCGGUAGUCCCACAGACGGCGCCAGCUGAUGAAGCACUGAAUCUGCUACCAGGGCUCGCGAUGGUGCGAGGUUGAUGCCAGAGGCUUUGGAGUCCACGACGCACGCUCUACGUCAAAUACCUGCAAGUGGAAACUAGGCGAUUCUAAUGAGACUCGCCGAGUUUCGUAAUGUAGUGCUCUGGUGUGAGAGUGAAACUUAAAUCGUGCCUUUGAGUGUCCCCUUGGGACCCCUUUUAUAGGGUCUCGGAGGGCGCACUCAUCGGCGGAGAUCGCGCCUAUGGUCAUAUAUGGUAACAUUUAUGACGUUGGCUGCCGCCGAGUAACGGUCGUAAGUCGCCGAUUCAGGUAUGGAAGUCACCUAGUUAAGGGCUAACUUGGCGAGUUUCUAGGGCCAAGAUGUACAGUCUACCAUACUGCCGAUCUUGCCUUAACUCGGCGAGUUAUCCUGUAUGUCGGCAACUUGGUAGUCCAAUCGGGCGACUUUACGGGCUAACUCGGCGAUCUGGACGAUGAACGUGUUCCGCACCGUGGGAACUCUCCGGGGGUCCUGCCAUAGCGACGGAGCCCUAGUCCUUGUUGAGAGGCGUUGAUGGGUAGUGACUGGUGUAAUCAGGCAUGUCUCACCAGGACUACUGGUGAGACACGCCUGAUUACGUCAGGUACUCCAAGCAACGCCUUUCAAACAAGGACUAGGGUUCCGUCGCUUUACGCCGGAUCCCCGGAAGGCAUCCAAAGUGCGGAGCAAGUGUGUACGUCAAGUACUCAAGGCAACACCUGGGAAUCGCCGACUGGGACUACCAAGUCGCCAAUUCCAGGGGUGCAUCGACGACUCCGGACAGGGCACUCGGGUCAGGUAGANNNNNNNNNNNNNNNNNNNNNNNNNNNNNNNNNNNNNNNNNNNNNNNNNNNNNNNNNNNNNNNNNNNNNNNNNNNNNNNNNNNNNNNNNNNNNNNNNNNNGGGGUUGGCCAACCAAGUUGGAUAUCGAACCUCUCGAAUGUGCCCGACAUUCAGAAGUUUAUAUAUCUCUUCGUUGGUAGCUUCCCGCCUGUCAGAGGUGAGCACUCGACGCUUUUGGCGACGAGCUGGGAUAGAUGGGUCGACAUUGAGUUUGUGCGUCAUGAUUUGACGCGCAAUCUGUGUCGAAGCCUCACCCUCCCAAACGAACCUGUCCUGGUGCUUCUCCAGGACAGUCACAAGCUUGGCCCUUAGGUCGGGUUCUAACCCUUUCCCUAAUGCCACGUGCCCCCCCUUUAGCUGGUAUACUUCAGUCUCAUCCACGGGUUGUAAUUUUUCCCUUUCCUCGUUGUCAGGUGGGGCGUGGACGAGCAUACUGUUUAGUUUUACCAGCUGAGUUGCCUUCUUAUACCCUUGUCCGGAAUCUUUUUGCGAUCCUUUGACAGUUGCAAUNNNNNNNNNNNNNNNNNNNNNNNNNNNNNNNNNNNNNNNNNNNNNNNNNNNNNNNNNNNNNNNNNNNNNNNNNNNNNNNNNNNNNNNNNNNNNNNNNNNNNNNNNNNNNNNNNNNNNNNNNNNNNNNNNNNNNNNNNNNNNNNNNNNNNNNNNNNNNNNNNNNNNNNNNNNNNNNNNNNNNNNNNNNNNNNNNNNNNNNNNNNNNNNNNNNNNNNNNNNNNNNNNNNNNNNNNNNNNNNNNNNNNNNNNNNNNNNNNNNNNNNNNNNNNNGGUGUCCAUGUAGAGGAUGUCCGCGGAACUGCCGCUAUCGACAAUCAUCCUCUCGACACGGGAAGUUGGACCGAUGUCUGCCUGAAUCACGAGUGGAUCCUCAUGUGGUAGCAAGACAUCGUCCAGGUCCUCUUCGGAGAAGUAAGUGGACUUCUCAUCCCGAGGCCUUUUCCCAUUGUCGCGAGGUGUAGACUGUGACAUCAGCACCUUCCGGGAGUAACCUCUAUUUUGACCUCUGUUUUGACCAACGGAUCCACCACCAAAGGUAGAGGUUGAUGUGAUCUCUUGGAUCACCCGAACCAUCAUACGCUUCUAUCCUUGGUACCCGCCAGGUUUGUGGGAAGGAUACCUUCAAAAGGUCCUCUCGAAAAGGAGCACUUUUGAUCCUCAUAAAUUCCAUCGGAACGCUGGCAGCUGGGUUGACCGCCAACUUCCGACGAAGAUCUUCCACGAACCGAGUUGUAAGAGUCUUUUCAGUAUGACUCUUGCUAGGUCCAACCUUUGAUUUGGAAGGUCGUGGACCAUCCUUUUUCUCCCCAGAUGGAGAAUUAUGAGAGGCCGAUUCACCCGCUCCUUCGCGGGCAAUGGUCCUCUGACUCCUCGCUUUUUCGAGGUUGUUCAUCCUUUGCUCCAUGUUCUCCAUGAAUUUGGAUAACCUCUCCUCUAAAGCGGAAGGAACUGAUGUUUGAGGGCGCAGACUGACUUGAGGCUCCUCAGGCCCUUCUGGCCUGUUUUCUUGAGGAGGGUCAGUUUGGGCCCUGUCAGCUAUCAUCGAGGAUUUGCCUUUGCCCCUCAGAUGAUAGUCGUGCCUUUGCCUUUCGGAAGUCAUUGUAGACAAAAGCGUGUUCCAACUAGAGAGCAAGUGCUUGCUAGAACUAGCCCGAGAGAAAGAACCAGGUGGAGUCGGCGAUUCACUAUGGGAGUCGGCGAUUCACAGAGGUGGAAUCGGCGACAGACACUAGUGGAAUCGGUGACUGCUUUAGGUAGCUCUUCUUUCGAGUCUGGCCGUGGACAACACUUUUAGCUAGCAGAAAAACCCGCAAUCGGCGAUUCACUAGGUGGAAUCGGCGAUUGCCUAUGUGAAUCGGAGAUUCCUUGACACAAAGUUAGCGACUCACCCUAAGGGAAUCGAGCUAAGUUUUGCGAAGAAAAUUUUGCGAUUACGACGGGAUAUCGUGGUUCAAUAGUCCCACAUACGGCGCCAGCUGAUGAAGCACGGAAUCUGCUACCAGUGGGCUCGCGGGGUGGCGAGAUGAGCCGGAGGCUGUGGAGUCCACGACGCGCGCUCUACGUCAAACACCUGCAGAAGAGGAGGGGAAUCGGCGACUCACGUGGGAGUAGGCGAUUCGGGCUCCUUGGAUGCUCUAGUGUGGAGUGUGAGUCAAGAGGAUGAGUUGUUGAUGGAGGACACCCCUAGGACCCCUUUUAUAGGGUCCUAGAGGCGUUCCCAUUCAAUGGAUUGGGGCCCACCUCAUUAUGGUGCCCUAUUGAAGGGUGCCAUAAUGGGGUGGGCCCGCCCGCGUAACGUCUGGGAGUCGGCGACUCAGGUGUGGGAGUCGCCGAUCCAGGAGUGGAGUCGCCGAUUCCUUGGAGGUCAAGUCCUCGAUCUACCAGACCCGAGAUCCCUGGCCAGAAUCGGUGAUUCACCCUUGGAGUCGGCGAAUUGGUAGUCCCAGUCGGCGACUCCCAAGUGUUAACUUGGGCUCUUGACGUAGACACGUGCUCCGCACCGUGGAAGCCUUUCCGGGGGUCCGGCAUAUAGCGACGGAACCCUAUUCCUUCUUUGAAGGGCGUUGCUGGGAGUGACUAACGUAAUCAGGCAUGACUCACCAGUGAACUUGGCAACUUCGUCAAGGGACCCCGAGGACGAGACGGUUGUAAACCUGACCCGAAGGGGAAGCGUCCACGCUCUCCUUCACCGGACAGCGACAGUAGCGAGGACCGCCAGCGGAAAACCAUCAAUAUGAUAUUUGGUGGUGGAUCCGUUGGUCAGAACAGAGGUUACUCCUGGAAGGGCUCUGAUGAAGCACUGAAUCUGCUACCAGGGCUCGCGGUGGUGCGAGGUUGAUGCCGGAGGCUUUGGAGUCCACGACGCACGCUCUACGUCAAAAUACCUGCAAGUGGAAACUAGGCUAUUCUAAUGAGACUCGCCGAGUUUCAUAGUAGUGCUCUGGUGUGAGAGUGGAACUUGAAUCGUGCCUUUGAGUGUCCCCUUGGGACCCUCUUUAUAGGGUCUCGGAGGGCGCACUCAUCGGCGGAGAUCGCGCCUAUGGUCAUAUAUGGUAACAUUUAUGACGUUGGCUGCCGCCGAGUAACGGUCGUAAGUCGUCGAUUCAGGUAUGGAAGUCCCCUAGUUAAGGGCUAACUCGGCGAGUUUCUAAGGCCAAGAUGUGCAGUCUACCAUACUGCCGAUCUUGCCUUAACUCGGCGAGUUAUCCUGCAUGUCGGCGACUUGGUAGUCCAAACGGGCGUCUUUACGGGCUAACUCGGCGAUAUGGACGAUGAACGUGUUCCGCACCGUGGGAGCUCUCCGGAAGUCCUACCAUAGCGACGGAGCCCUAGUCCUUGUUGAGAGGCGUUGAUGGGUAGUGACUGGUAUAAUCAGGCAUGUCUCACCAGUACUCCCCCCUGAAGAGAGCACAAGAAACAUGGUGUAUCACCAGUAACCCCCCCGUCAAUCAAGGUUCAAAGUGUGUUGAUGAAGCACGAAAUCUGCUACCAGUAGGCUCGCGGGGUUGCGAGGAGGGCCGGAGGCUUUGGAGUCCACGACGCGCGCUCUACGGCGAUUUGGGCUCCUUGGUUGCUCUAGUGUGGAGUGUGAGUCAAGAGGGUAAGAUGAGAAUGGAGGACGCCCCUAGGUCCCCUUUUAUAGGGUCCUAGAGGCAUUUCCAUUCAAUAGAGUGGGGCCCACCUCAUUAUGGUGCCCUAUUGAAGGGUGCCAUAAUGGUGUGGGCCCGCCCGCGUAACGUCUGGGAGUCGGCGACUCAGGUGUGGGAGUCGCCGAUCCAGGAGUGGAGUCGCCGAUUCCUUGGAGGCCAAGUCCUCGAUCUACCAGACCCGAGAUCCCUGGCUGGAAUCGGUGACUCACCCUUGGAGUCGGCGACUUGGUAGUCCCAGUCGGCGACUCCCAAGUGUUAACUUGGGCUCUUGACGUAGACACGUGCUCCGCACCGUGGAAGCCUUUCCGGGGGUCCGGCAUAUAGCGACGGAACCCUAUUCCUUGUUUGAAGGGCGUUGCUGGGAGUGACUGACGUAAUCAGGCAUGUCUCACCAAUACUCCCCCCUGAAGAGAGUAUGGCUACUCGCUACUGUCGAUCCUCGCUACUGUUCCGUUGGCGAUCCUCGCUACUUUUCCGUUGGCGAUCCUCGCUACUGUCGCUGUCUGGCGAAGGAGAGCGUGGACGCUUCCCCUUCGGGUCAGGUUUACAACCGUCUCGUCCUCGGGAUCCCUUGACGAAGUUGCCAAGUUCACCCUUUGAGACCAGUUGCUCGACGUAAAUCUAGAACUCCCUGCAGUGGUCGGUGAGGUAGCUGUGGUCCUUGUGAAAUUUACAGAACCGUCCACCCUUUUUGCGACUACUUUUUGUUACCGGAUGCUCCAUCGACUAGUUCGUCGAUAGAUGGCAACGGGGAACUGUCCUUGGGGCAUGCUUUAUUGAGAUCAGUGAAAUCAAUGCACAUGCGCCAUUUGCCAUUGGGCUUCUUGACCAGGACGGUGUUGGCCAACUAAGCCGGAUAUCGAACCUCCCGAAUGUGCCCUGCAUUCAAGAGUUUCGAUAUUUCCUCAUUGGCUGCCUCCCGCCUGUCAGAAGUGAGUACUCGACGCUUCUGGCGUCGAGCUGGAAUGGAUGAGUCGACAUUCAGUUUGUGUGUCACGAUCUGACGCGCAAUCUGUGUCGGUGCCUCACCCUCCCAAACGAACCUGUCCUGGUGCUCCUCCAGGACAGUCACAAGCUUGGCUUUUAAGGCAGGGGGUAACCCCUUCCCUAGUGCCACUUGUCCCCCCUCCAGCUGGUAUACCUCAGUCUCGUCCACAGGUUGUAAUUUUUCCCUUUCCUCGAUGUUAGGCGGGGCGUGGACGAGCAUGUUGUCGAAUUUUGUCAGCUAGGUUGCCUUCUUAUACCCUUGUCUAGAAUCUUUUUGUGAUCCUUUGACAGUCGCAACGAACCCGUUUACUGGGUAUCGAAUGCAUUGGUGAUAAGAAGACGGGACUGCUUGGAUUCCGUGGAUGAAGGGGCGUCCGAAAAUUCCAUGGAAAGUGGAUUCUACCUCCACUACAAUGAAACGGCAUAUUCGGCUAGCCCUUCCUCGCUUGGAACCGAUGGAUACCUUUAGGUCAAUAACACCGGCCAAUGGGGCGGCGAUGUUAGUGAAACCGUAGAUGGCUUCCUUACAGGGAGAUAGCUCUUCCCUUUUAAGGCCCAUCUUGGUAAAAGUAUCCAUAUAGAGGAUAUCCGCAGAGCUGCCGCUGUCGACAAUCAUCCUCUCGACUCGGGAAUUAGGACAGAUGUCUACUUGGAUCACGAGUGGGUCCUCGUGAGGUUGCAAGACAUCGUCCAGGUCCUCUUCGAAGAAGUAUAUUGACUUCUCCUCGCGGACCCGCUUUCCGUUGUCUCGAGGUGUUGAUUGUGACAUCAGCACCUUUCGGGAAUAUCCCCUAUUCUGGCCAACGGAUCCACCACCAAAUAUCAUAUUGAUGGUCUUCCCCUGGCGGUUCUCGCUGUUGUCGCUAUCUGGCGAAGGAGAGCGUGGACGCUUCUCCUUUGGGUCAGAUUUGCAGUUGUCCCGUCCUCGGGAUUUCUUGACGAAGUUGCCAAGUUCUCCCUUUGAGAUCAACUGCUCGACGAAAGAAGAGAAUUCCCUGCAGUGGUCUGUUAGGUGGCCGCAGUCUUUGUGAAAUUUGUAGAAUUUCCCAGACUGCGUGCGGCCCUCUUUGCCUACAGGGUCCAAAGAACGAGGGACAGGUAGAUCCGCUCGGUUCUUCAGUUUCUCAAACAGCUCGCCUUUGCUGAUUGUAAGCAGGGUGUUCCUUUUCCAUAGUGGAGUUGCACCCUUUGGCUGGCUGGUUGAGGUUUGGUAUACCUUGUUGUCAUGCCUAGGCUUCCAUUCUUUUUUGGAAGUCUCAGCCUUGUUACUGGUAUACCUGUUAGAGGUGUCGUGGAAAUUGUUGUUUCCACUGUACCCCUUCCUCUCAUACUUAGGCUUUUUGAAGCUAGGAGUCCCAAGUUCAGCUAGCUUGUUCUCGUCCUCCUCUUCCACCUCAAUGUACAAUUGAGAGCGUUGGAAGAGGUCGGGCAGAGAAUUCACCUUGUAGAGAGUCAGAUUUUGGGCCAGAGGGGAGUAGGGGACUAAUCCUCUAAUGUAUCCCUCUAUGGCCACACUUGGGAUUAGGUCGUUCACCUCUGUCAUCAUUGUGGUGAACUUAACCAUAUAAUCCCUCAGAGACAGUUUGUCCUGUCUGAGUGUCAGGAGUGCGUUGGCACUAUGUUUUAUCCUUAUCAUCCCCACAUGCUAGGAGAUGAAUUUGGACGAGAGGUCUGCAAAGCUGGUGACUGAGCCAGCUGGCAGACCAGAGAACCAUCGAUAAGCGCUGCCCUUGAGAGUGCCGGGAAAUGCCCGACACAGCAGCCCAUCAUCGAUGGUUUGCGGUUCCAAGACGUUGAGGUAGAGGUUCACGUGAUCUUGUGGAUCACUUGAACCAUCGUAUGCCUCGAUCCUUGGUACCCGCCAGUUGGGUGGGAAAGAUCCCUUUAAAAGGUCCUCGCGAAGAGGAGCACUUUUAACCCUUAGGAUUUCGUGCGGGUUGCCGAUAGCUGGGUCAGUGGCCAACUUCCGCCGAAGAUCCUCUACGAACCGAGUAGUAAGAGUCCUUUUCGAGCGACUCUUACUGGGUCCCGUCUUGAGACGGGAACUCUGUUUUGUUUUCUCCGCAGAUGGAGAAUAGAUGGACCCAGAUUCAUCCGCUCUUUCACGGAUGGUGGUGGUCCUAUGACUCCUCGCUUGCUCGAGGUUAGUCAUCCUUCUUUCGAUGUUGUCCAUGAAGCUGAACAACCUUUCCUCCAAGGUGGGUGGGGCCUUGGGCACUAUGUGUUCCUCGACUGGAGGAGGAACCGAGUUUGUUUCCACAGGUUGAGCAUUGAUGGGUCCCUUUGGUCGGGAUUGCUCGCCCUGUUCCAGCACGGUUGCUGGUAUCUUUCCCUUACUUCUUGUGGCGUAAGGGUGCUUUUGUUUUUCGAUGAUUGCCAUGAAAACAAAAGCGAAGAAGUACCAAAGCAGAGAGGUACCUGACUGAGCCUGUCGGAAAAACAAAAAAUAAGUCGGCGAGUUAGGGGUUAACUCGGCGACUUUGAGAUUUUGUGGUUUUCCCGAACAAGGUCGUGGACAACACUCUUAGCUAGCAGACGAUAUUCCGGAUCGGACGAUUCUCAAGGAUAAGUCGGCGAUUUAAGGCUAAAUCGGACCUUAACCGAGAAUCGGACGAUCUAAGUCGGCGAUUUUUUGAUAAACUCGGCGAACUCUCUAGGAGAGCUCGAGCCGGAUUUUUAAAAAAUCGCGAUUACGACGGGAUACCGGUAGUUCGGUAGUCCCACAGACGGCGCUAGCUGAUGAAGCACUGAAUCUGCUACCAGGGCUCGCGGUGGUGCGAGGUUGAUGCCGGAGGCUUUAGAGUCCACGACGCACGCUCUACGUCAAAUACCUGCAAGUGAAAACUAGGCGAUUCUAAUGAGACUCGCCGAGUUUUGUAGUGAUACUCUGGUGUGAGAGAGGAACUUGAAUCGUGCCUUUGAGUGUCCCCUUGAGACCCUUUUUAUAGGAUCUCGGAGGGCGCAAUCAAAGGCGGACAUCGCGCCUAUGGUCAUAUAUGGUAACAUUUAUGACGUUGGCUGGCGGCGAGUAACGGUCGUAAGUUGCCGAUUCAGGUAUGGAAGUCGCCUAGUUAGGGCUAACUCGGCGAGUUUCUAGGGCCAAGAUAUACAGUCUACCAUACUGCCGAUCUUGCCUUAACUCGGCGAGUUAUCCUGUAUGUCGGCGACUUGGUAGUCCAAUCGGGCGACUUACGGGCUAACUCGGCGAUCUGGACGAUGAACGUGUUCCGCACCGUGGGAGCUCUCCGGGGGUCCUGCUAUAGCGACAGAGCCCUAGUCCUUGUUGAAAGGCGUUGCUGGGAGUGACUGACAUAAUCAGGCAUGUCUCACCAUAACUCAAGUACGCAGAACUCUGCUUCGCUAGGACUCCUUCCAUUCCAAAUGACCUGCCUUUAAUGAAUGGGGGAUGCCUCCUAUUUAUAGGGAUUCUUAUGGGGGUAAUCUGGUCAUUUGGGCAGUAACCGCCUAACUGCCUAACUGAUCAGAUCGAGGCCCAAGGUCGACUUUCCAGAGAUCGACUUUCUGGGGAUCGACUUUCCUGGUGAUCGACUUUAUUCAGAAUUCGAUCUCAGGGAAGUCGAUCCUCAGGAAAGUCGAUCUUCCUAAGAUUUGACUUGGGACCUCCCCAACCCUAGAAUAGGUACCUCAACUCAUCUUAGGCUAUCCGGACUUCUAGUUGCUGGUAAGUUGUGACCGAGUUCGGGAUACUGUAUCACCAGUACUCCCCUCUCCUCUGCGUAUUAGAUACUUUGGGAUACGUCUUUUAGUACUAUGGUCUGUGUUGUACCUUGUACUAUCAGUAUUCCCCCCCUCUUUGCGUGCUGGGAUGUGGAUUUUUGGUGAUGUCCCUGGAUGUAAGAUCCUCUCUCACCAGUAUUCCCCCCCUCUCUACGCCUGCGAGGUUGUAUCUAUGCUUCCACGGAGGUUGUCACGCGCUUUUGCCAACUAUUGUCCGGUUUGUCCUAGCCGAAGCAUACUCCUUGCGCACCUGUCUGGCCUGAUUCUCCCGCGGAACCCUGCUUGCCCACCUUGACGCCUUGCCAGAGCUAUCCUUGAGCACCGUUUGGGUUCUCUUCCCUGUGGCGGGUUUUGAGAGUACCCGACCCCCUCCUUUUGUCCGCCUUUCUGCGAUAGGGGUUGAGUGUGCUUCCUCAUCUACCCACGUUCAUCCGUGGGUGAGGAUUAUUACUUGAAUACUUGCCCCCUUCUUUUGCUCGCUUUCCUGCGACUGAGGCUAGGUGUUAUUCCUCGUCUACCUACGUUCAUCCGUAGGUGAGGAAUUUGAGUACUUGCCCCUUCCUUUUGCUCGCUUUUCUGCGACUGAGGCUAAGUGUUACUCCUCGUCUACCUACGUUCAUCCGUAGGUGAGGUUUGUUGUUUGAAUACUUGCCCCCUCCUUUUGCUCGCCUUUUUGCGACUGAGGCUAAGUGUGAUUCCUCGUCUACCUACGUUCAUCCGUAGGUGAGGAUUGUUGUUUGAAUACUUGCCCCCUCCUUUUGCUCGCCUUUUUGCGACUGAGGCUAAGUGUGAUUCCUCAUCUACCUACGUUCAUCCGUAGGUGAGGAUUGUUGUUUGAAUACUUGCCCCCUCCUUUUGCUCGCCUUUUUGCGACUGAGGCUAAGUGUGAUUCCUCGUCUACCUACGUUCUUCCGUAGGUGGGGUUUACUUUUUGAGUACGUCCCUCGUCUAACACUACGUUUCCGUAGGUGAGGUUCACCCUUUAGCCGAUGUGUUUCCCGUCUAACCUACGUUCUUCCGUAGGUGGGGUUCACUUUUUGAGUACAUCCCUCGUCUAACACUACGUUUCCGUAGGUGAGGUUCUCCCUUUAGCCGAUGUGUUCCCCGUCUAACCUACGUUCUUCCGUAGGUGGGGUUCAUUUUUUGAGUACAUUCCUCGUCUAACACUACGUUUCCGUAGGUGAGGUUCACUCUUUUCUUUGGAUAGGAUACGCAUUCUGACUCUGUUACCAUUAAGACUUUCUUUGCCCACGUUCUUCCGUAGGUAGAGUUAAUUUGAUGUCCUACUUUAUUACUGCGUCCAGUAAUGGUAGGAGUUCAAAUAUCUUUGUAUGGCUCAGCUCAUUUUGCUGCCGUAUCACCGUCCGAAUUGUGGACUUCCACGAUUCCUCAGGAGCAUUUCGUGUUACACCCUCCUGUCUUGGUGUGCCUCCGCAACUUCAACUUUUCUGGGUUCUUUUUUCUGCGCCCCUUUUAUGUGGAAAAAAGUCGAUCCCUGUUGCUUUUGCUCGACUUUUGCUAAAUGUUGAUCCCUUAUUGAGUUUGCUCGACUUUUGCGAAAUGUCGAUCCCUUAUUGAGUUUGCUCGACUUUUGCGAAAUGUCGAUCCCUUGUUGAGUUUGGUCGACUUUUGUCAAAAAGUCGAUUCCUGAUGCUCUUGGUCAAAAGUCGAAUUUGCCAUUUUUUGUCCUUUUGUUCUGUCCUAGGGUCUAUAAAUAGGACCCCUAGGUCCUUCUUUUCCUUCAUCCAUGGCUCUUCUUGUGAGUCUCUUUGCUGAUUUUAUUCAGGGAGAGAUUGAGGAGCUGGAUCGAAUUUUGAAUAUUUUGGAUCCUCGGUUGUCAACCUUGGAUCUUCCUUCUCUGCGCCAGCUCAUUGUUGAGCGGCAGAGUGUUGCUGUUGCUGCUAGGGAAUCUAUUUUUGAAGAAUGGUCUGGCGGCGAUCUUCCGCCCGCCUCUUCUUCUGUUGUCCCUCGUGGCCGACGUCGGAGGCGUCCCCGCCGCGGUGCUUCCCCGCUGGAUCAGGUCCCUCGUCGCUUGCGUUGCCGUAUCAAUUUUAAUUAGGAACCUGUAAUAUUUUUUAUUCAUCAUUUUUUGUAAUUUUGAAUAAAUAUACUUUUUUACCUUUUCCUUUAUUCGACUUACACCUUUACUCUGAAGUACGUUAGUGUAACCGAUGCUUUCUUUUGGUCAAUAUCAUAUUCUCCUGUCAUUUUCUGAAGAUGUCGGAUCUUUGACAACGAGUCGAUCUCAUUUCUCCCUGGAAAUGUCGAUGUUAAAAAAGUCGAUCUCAUCUUUUUCUGAGGAUGUCGAUGUGUGACUGCCGAUCCUUUUCUGAAGAUGUUGAAUUUUUGACAACAAGUCGAUCUCAUUUCUCCCUGGAAAUGUCGAUGUUGCUCAAAAAAGUCGAUCUCAUCUUUUCCUGAGGAUGUCAAUGUGUGACUGCCGAUCCUUUUCUGAAGAUGUUGAAUUUUUGACAACAAGUCGAUCUCAUUUCUCCCUGGAAAUGUCGAUGUUGCUCAAAAAAGUCGAUCUCAUCUUUUUCUGAGGAUGUCGAUCAGAGUAGUGUGGAAUGUCGAUCUUGACCUUCUCUUUUGAAGGUUUCGAAUUCCUUGGUAAAUGUCGACGUCUAUCCCCCUUUUCUGGGAAUGUCGAACUCAGUUUUCUGUGGAAUGUCGAGCUCAAUUUUCUGCGGAAUGUCGAUCCUGACCUUCUCUUUUGAAGGUUUCGAAUUCCUUGAUAAAUGUCGACGUCUAUCCCCCUUUUCUGGGAAUGUCGAACUCAAUUUUCUGCGGAAUGUCGAUCCUGACCUUCUCUUUUGAAGGUUUCGAAUUCCUUGGUAAAUGUCGACGUCUAUCCCACUUUUCUGGGAAUGUCGAACUCAAUUUUCUGCGGAAUGUCGAUCCUGACCUUCUCUUUUGAAGGUUUCGAAUUCCUUGGUAAAUGUCGACGUCUAUCCCCCUUUUCUGGGAAUGUCGAACUCAAUUUUCUGCGGAAUGUCAAUCCUGCCCUUCUCUUUUGAAGGUUUCGAAUUCCUUGAUAAAUUUCGACGUCUAUCCCCCUUCUGGGAAUGUCGAACUCAAUUUUCUGUGGAAUAUCGAUCCUGACCUUCUAUUUUGAAGGUUUCGAAUUCCUUGGUAAAUGUCGACGUCUAUCCCCCUUUUCUGGGAAUGUCGAACUCAAUUUUCUGCGGAAUAUCGAUCCUGACCUUCUCUUUUGAAGGUUUCGAAUUCCUUGGUAAAUGUCGACGUCUAUCCCCCUUUUCUGGGAAUGUCGAACUCAAUUUUCUGCGGAAUGUCGAUCCUGACCUUCUCUUUUGAAGGUUUCAAAUUCCUUGGUAAAUGUCGACGUCUAUCCCCCUUUUCUGGGAAUGUCGACGCCUUUUCCUGAAAUGUCGAUGCUCUUUCCUGAAAUGUCGAUGCCAUCUAGUCGGAUUUUGGGGUUUUUCUUGGACUGGGCCGUCGUGGCCCUGCCGGGCCCGUGGGCUUUCCGGCCCAACGGGUCGACCCGGAUGAACAGUGCCCGCGACGGUUCGUCUUCGACUUUCUCCUAUAAAUAGCGGAGGAAGUUCAUUUGUUUCUCACUCGUUUUCUUCGCUCCGACCGAUCGACUUUCUCGCAUCGCUUCGACAUCUCGCUUCGACAUCUCGCUUCGACAUCCCGCUUCUCCGCUUCGACUUCCAGCCUGCGUAAGGCUUCGACUUGAGCCUUGGAGGUGCAGCUUUCUGGGGUCCGACUUUCGUUGUCGGGCUCUUCUGAGGUUGCACUGGGUUCGACUUCCUUGGGGUCCGACUUUUCUGAAAGUCGGUCCUUUUCGAAGUUGUUCCCCUUUGGACUGUGGUCCGACUUUGUGAGGUUUGAUGCCUUGUCAUCGACUUUUCAAAGUUGGAUCCAUUUUUACUGGGAUCGACUUCCAUGGGUAUAGCCUUUGCGCUCCCGAAGUGCUUCCCUUGGUCCGAGUUUACUAGGGUCGACUUCCUGAGACCCUUGUCUCCUGAAGGUCGACUUUCCUAGGAUCGACUUCUGAGGUCGACUUCCCUGGGAUCGACUUCUGUGGUCGACUUCCCUUAUACUGCUAGUUCGAUUCCCUAAAGUCCGGAUCGACUUUUCUUGGGAUCGACUUUUGCCAUAACUUGGGCUGACUACUAUGUUCUUCGUGCAGGUUCAUAAUGUCUUCUGACAAGGAUUCGCAGCGAGAUCUUCCUCUUAAUGAGGAGCGAGCUGUUGUUAUCAGCCCUCAGGUUCCUCAGACUGCUCCUGCCGCAACAGAGUCUGUUCCCACCGAGGUUCAGGUUGCUUCUGCUGAAUCAGAGUCUGUUCCCACCGAGGUUCUGACAACUUCUGCCGCAGUCGAUUCAACUCCUGCCGUGGUUCAGACUCCUCCUGCCGUGGUCGAGUCUAGAGUUGAUUCGCCUUCCUCCUUACCUGUUGGAAGUAAGCGAAAAGCUCUUUCUCGUCGUACGUGCAAGCCCGUACCUAGUAAGUUACUAUUAUUUUUUAUUUCGUAACUUACCCUUUGUUUGUUUCUUUUGUUCAUUCUUCCCCCGCACGUUCCAGUUCGGGGUCUUCUACAUCUAGCUCGGGAAGCUCGGGUUCUUCCUACUACAGCUCCUCUUCUCCAGAGCGGGAUGUAGAAAUUGGAGGAACCCCUCCUUCCGUCGUACUCCUCCUCCUACCAUUAUUUUGUCUACCAUUCCUGAGGAGGUUCCUACUACGGAGGAUCCAUCUGCGACUACAGACGGUUCUGCUCAACUUCCUCCCGAAGUCUGUAGUCAGAACGUUCACCUUUUAGAGGACUCUCCUUUGGGUUACCCUCCUGAGACGGAGGAGAAGUACCCCUUUCCUUCUCCUCUUGAGGAGAAGAGCGUCCCAUCCUUCUAUCGGGAGAUGGAUGGUUCUUGGCGCAACGGUUUCCACGUUGUCCCUAUUCUCGACUGGGGCGUGUACGGGACUGGGUAUGGUUCUUUCUGUGCAGUCUCUCUGACUGAUAUUCCGGGCUACCCCUUUCCUCUAAUGCGGGUAGAUUCUCUAACACCCUUUCCCUGGAUGCCGCCCAAAGAAUUUUGAGGGGGUUAGAGCUUAGAGAGAGAGUGUACUGGGCGUACCCUUCUGAGAACACUGGUGACGUGCCCCCUAUUUCAUGUUGGCACUCCAUCGGAUCUAUUUCACUAACUUUCCGAUCCUUCCGAUCCCUUCCCUAGUUAGUGAAAUCCUUUUAUAUUCUGGAUUGUGUAUCUCCCAGAUGGGUGCCGCCUUUUUCUUUUAUGUCAGGGACUUUAUUAAUGUUCUCAGGGAUGCUGGCAUAGUCCCAACUAAUCGGCUGUUCUUCCACUUCUUCACUUUUCAAAAUCCGAAGAAGGGCAGCCCUUUUAUUGCAUGUGCCAGCCGUGCUACUUCUGUCACUCACUCUGCCCUCUUGAAAGAUCCUCCGACCAGGCGGAACAAGAGUGAGUUUAUUUUUGUGGAUUGCAGGCUAUGCCCUGGUAGCAGACUUCUCUCUGCAUCCACUAUUGGUCGUAGGCCUACUCCCCGUCCUGUUCUGACUGAGGAUGAGGGAGCUUCUGUGCAAAGGCUGGCCUUUUUACACGCUAUCGCUGUGCCUGUCGGUCACGCGAUUGACGAUACUUUUAACCGACAAGGUCUUCCUUUGCCUGUUUUCUUUUCUUUUCGCUUUCUAUGUGUAUGCAUUUUUCUAACUCUGUUUAUAUUCUUUGCAGAUUUUUAUAUGCAUAAUCCUGGAGGUGUCCCUGAACGCGUUGGGCAGAAUGAAACUGGCACGAAGGUUUACGCACCUGCCUCUAAACCUUCUAAUGCCAAACAUCUGAGGCAACGUGCUCUUGAGAACGCCUAUACGAUGGUGCAUUCCCCUACUCCUCCUGAAGAAGUCCAACGAACUGAGGAAGGGGAGGUACCUGCGGAGGUACCUGUGGAAACUACUCCUGUGCAGUCUCCUGCUGCUGCCAGACUCUCUUCCUUCUUCCGCACUCCAGAAGAGGAACGAGAGAGGACUGCUGGGAAGGAGACCCAGUUUGAGGGGUCUGAGGGGAGUAGAAGCAAGAAAUGAACUCCACCCCCUAGGACCGACUCCUCUCCUCCGAGGAAAUCAAGGAGACACUCCCCCAGGCGACGAGCUUCUCCGCGCCGAAGAUUUUAUACUGGGGAGUCCUCCCGGGGCCGAUACAAUUACGCUUCCACCCGGGAGACACAGCUGCCGGGUUACCAAGGUUCGCACCCCCGGAAUUACGGGACCAAGUUCCCUCUGGUCGCUGACACGGAUGCCGCCCGAACCACACUGCGGACUAUAUCUGGGUAUCCGAUGGACCGGACUGUCGAAGAAAUCGGACAGAAUCUGAGUAACGUAAGUACUUUUAUUUUAAUAUUUUCAUGAGUAUGUUCUUACUCAUUCUUUCUUUUUGCAGCUCGCCUAUUUGUUUCAAGGCCGC